rnacentral:lncRNA from 1 species
UGAGGGUGAUCGUGAAAUUGAUCUAGACUGUACUGGCGAGCGAUAAUCAUCCCUAGCCCGAUGGUCCCUUCAAAUGGAAAGAAACACUUUAUUAUGUUUUGAAAGAAAAAAAAAAUUGCAGAUGCAGCAAGAGAAUAAGAUAUGAAAUAUUCCAAAUGAAUAAGAGAUACCUACUAAAACCAUCUUCAUUUUUCACAAGUAAAAAACUUCCCCAUUAAUAAUCCACUACAAGUGCACAAGAAAAUGUAAUGUGGGCAUAGAUCAACAAUUCAGAACCAAUUAUCAGUUUCAAGAUAACAGAACAACUACUUACAUCCUCUUCAAAAUCUAACUGAUCAAGAUAUGACCUUUACUUUACCUGAACCUUUACAGGGUUCUGAACAAAAAAUAUGACACUUGGUCCAAACACUCAGAGUUAGGCUAGUACUGGUUGAUCAGCAUCUGAAAACUUCAUAGCCCACUUUGCCCCAACUUUUCUAAAACCAGAUAAUAUCUUUUCCUUCAACAUGUCACCAUACUCUACCGGUAAAAACUUUGAGUGGCUUCAUUUCUUUGUAGAUGAUUUCUUUCUUUCUUUCUUUGGCCAACUAUAAGCUUUAUAUUCUUUCUUUACUGGAUGGUAUAUGCAAAACAAGAUAUCAAACUUAACAAAUUUUCUUCAAAAACUUACUUAAACAGCUAAUAUAAGAAGGAAAAGUAAAUAUAUACUAGUAAAGAUUCCAAUAUCUCUAGCACCCUGUUUAGCUUGUCAGUUCAGUCGGUCGUAGAAAGGUCUCACAAACCGAAGUCAUAACAAUAGGAUCCCAAUGCCAUUUGUAGAUGAAAGUUGAUGGUGGAUAUAGAUGGUACUUAUGGAGAGCAUAGGUGGAAGGUAAAGAAGUUGCCCAUCACUUGUAUGAUCUCUUUUCUCAUUAAACUUUACUAAUCCAGAAGUCUUUAAAUAUCCACCAUAGUACUUAUGGAGAGCAUUGGCGGAAGAUAAAGAAGUUUCCCAUCACUUGUAUGAUCUCUUUUCUCAUUAAACUUUACUAAUCCAGAAGUCUUUAAACUAUAUCUGUAUAACAAGGCCACCAGAAAAUAUUACACAAUUCACUAAACACAUGAUACAUGCAAAAGAUGCGAUCUCCAUACCUAAAGAAGAUUUCAUUCUGCAAUUUCAUCAGAAACACAGGUAUGUGAACAUAAAAGUUGGAUUCAGAGAUUUUCCAAUGAAAAUGUGAUCACCCUCUAUUGUACUCAUUCAUGAAAACAAGAAUUCAAAAACUAUAACCAUUGAUCAAUUUUGGAAAAAAUUAUAUGGCCACAUGAACCUGUCGCUGAUGAAUCUACCCCACCCUUGAAAGGAGUAACCACCCAUCCACACAGACUACGGUGUAAUAGAAAAGAAAACAGUGUUAAUGAAUAAAAGAUACAUCUAGAGAUAAUAUACAGACCUUGAAUCACGCCUAACAGGUGAUGGUGAUGGCGAGUAAGCUGUGACCAAAAAAGUUUGACGACGGUUUAGAAGAAAAAUAGGAGCAAAAUUAUUUCACAAAGGACUUGAAAUAAAAUCAUGCAUGUCGAUCAAAAACUGCCAAGUACAAGUUAAAACUGACAACGAUAUUGCCGUCUUGGGGACCUCGGUGGAGUUCUCCUUCUGGAGCUUCCUCCAUGUCGACUACUGCAGAUAAAUAUAAAAUAAAAUAAAAAUUGCAUUAUAAAAUAAAUUAAAAAUUGUUUUCAUGAAGUGAAUAUGUAAUUAUAUUUGGGGAGGCAUAAUAAACUAUGGGGUAGUAUUGGAGCCAAAUACAAUGUACCUUACGCGAGUAGUUGUGCGCAUUUCUUGCGGAGUUUUUCUAUUCUCCUCAGCAAACACAAUUCUUAUCUCACGCCCACCAAUAACUGUAUGAUUCAGUUGUUGCUUUGCUUCUGCUGCAUCCUCACCAUAACGGUACUUCACAAACCCAAAACCCCGUGGCUCCCUAUGGAUGGAAAGUAGAAACGCUUGAGUAAAAAUAACUUACAUUUGUGUUAUCCAGAAAACCCAGAAAUAUAUCAACUUUCGCAGGAGUAUCUAUUCCAGCGUGCAAGUUUUACACCACUGAACCACGGCAGAAGAAGAAUCGCAUUACGUACAAUAAUUCACGCCAUAACAAUCAAGAAUGGCAUACCCUGUGUAGUAAUUCUUAGGAAGAUACACAUCCUUUACUGGGCCAAAUCGCUCAAAUGGGAUCCUAAGAUCUUCUGGCCUGCAUAUAACAGGUAUACAAUGAAUAAGCCUGGAUCUUUCGUAAUGCAAAAAAAAAUAAAAAAGACAUGUAUACGUAAUUUGGGGUUAAUGAACUUGUUGUAAUUAACUCAACUAGCUGAAGGAUUAAGUCUAUAACCAUGUAAUAAUAUACUUAUUCUUCGAUAAUAUACUAGUAUUACCAUUAACAAGAGAUUAACACACAAUCCCAUAUUUUGAAAAGUAAAGCACAAAAAAUUACUAAAAAAAUACCAAUCAUUCAUAAUUACAACCCAAUUUUAGUCACGCAUUUGAAGAAUAAACUACAUAAAUAUAUAUACAUAUCUAUGCAUACACAGAGAUGAGAGAGAGAUACAUAUACAUAUAUACCUAGCGUCGAGAGGGAGAUUGCGAACGAGCAAACCGGAAGGUGCGGGAGAACUACGGUCUCUGUGAGACCUACUGUCACGGUGUCGAUCACGCGGCUCGUCGUCGUAUCGCUUGCGUCCGCGAGGCGGAGUCCGACUACGUCGACGAGGGCUGUAGCUUCUGCUUCGGCUUCUGUACCUGACCAUUGUUGCAGCUAGGACUUGAACCCUGAGCGCCCAAACCCCUAACCCUAGGUCCCCAGUAUGAUAGUGAAGAAGAACCGAAAGGAACGAGCGCUUGUGGUUUGUGUGGGGAGUUUUGGGUUUCGGAUUUGGAAAGAGGAAUUGAGUGCGGAACAGAUACCGAUCUAAUGAUGCGCGCUCUUCAACUAACUCGGUUCAGUGUGUUGCCCAAAUAGUAUUAACCUGGCCCACCUAGCUAUCAAGGCCCAACCCAAUCGAUUUUGUUAUAUUUCUUUAUUUACAAGAAACUUCUAAAUGUACCUAAGAGCAACGGAGUAUGAUUCUCUCCCCUCCUAAUCUCUCUUCCCUUCCAUCCCCUUCAAUUUAAACGGUUACGAUUACGUCAUAUCUACAUUUUAUUUUGAAUUUUUUAUGUAGAGAAAAACAUAAAAAGAAGAGUAGGAGGGGAUGGAAGAGGAUGGUAAUGGUAGGGGAGAGAAACCUACUCCAAGAACAACUCCACUCCAAGCAAUUACUGCCCAGGCUAUUCAGCCAAGGCAAUUACUGGCUUAAGUGCAUUUUUAUCUCUAAACUGAAUUGUCCAAGCUAUUGUUAUUAAAAUAUUACUUUUUUAUUAUAAAAUAGUAAAAGUUAAUUUUGCCUUUAAUUUUGGAUAUGAUUUUUAAUCAAUCUCUUCACGCCACGUUUCAUUAUCCGAAAGUACAAUUUUUAUGAAUAGACUUUUUCAAGUACAUUUAUAGGAAAAAUUAUAAUUCUUUUUAAUAUUUUUCUGAGUUGUUUUAUAAAUUUUAUCUAACUUAAUUAAUAUGGACCGUUGCAUUACAUUAUAUGUUUUUUCCAAAGACCUAGAUUUUGGCAUGUAAUCCCAACAAUAAUAAUAGUUUUUUUCUGAUUUUUUUUUUUAAUUUAUAAGCCCAAAAAAUCUGGACCGUUGAUCAAGAUAUCUAACUGACCAAAAUUCGCCACAUGUCCUCGCUGUUAGAUUUGAAUUCAAAUUUUAUUAACCUUUGGAAAUCCAACGGCACAAAGUGAGCCACAUAGCACCCAUUUCUGAAGUGCUUAGUGUGCCUAUAGCGCGAGCUUCAACAGUGUUUUCUUGUUUGCUCACUCCCAAAUUCUUGCGCGUGUAAUUCAUGUGCCUAGCGCAAAAAAAUUUAACAUGACUAACGUCAGCCUGACAUCAAACGCAGUCACAAGGUUGGGCUAUUCUAGCCUGUGUGCUUGGUCGGGCUUGCUAUAGCCCAGCUAAUUGGGCAGGGUGGAGUGCUUUUGGGGAGCUUAGGGGAUUGGAUGGCCUAAUAGCCCAAGCAAUUUGCGUGGGGUGGAACUGCUCUAAGAGGCUAAGACUCAAGCAAAGGCAGUAUAAACUCGUCAUUCAUACGAUUCAAAUUGAGACCUCAUACUUAUAGGAAAAUGCCACUAAAUUGGAGUGCUAAUGAAUAUUGGGGUACAACUUUCAUCUCUUCACAUAACUUGAAAUCUCCUGCUUUGAAAGUUUUUCCAUCAUCACAUGUUUAUUUACUAUUAGUGAAAAGGCAAGGUAUGCAAGUCAUUUUUAUCAUUGACAAAUUAUUUGUCAACCAACCAACAAAGGCAUGAAAGAAAUAAGUCAGGCCUCAUGCUGAAUUAUGUGUUCCUUUCCCAAUUUCUACAAAAUAUCAUGACGAAUUGAGUAUGUUUAUCUCAUACUUAGAACAAUUUAAGUAUCAUUUAAUUUUCUAAAAGUGUAAAUAAGCCUGUCCUAAUUUAAUUCAAUCCAUUAUGUUGAUGCACAAAACCGGAGAUCUUGGAACAACGUAAAUCCGACCGUGAAUCUGCAAAUAAUGUAAAUAACACAAGAUGUAUCCAUUCAAAAGUUUGAUGUGAGCCAACGAAGUACUCCGAGCUUCGUGAGAACGUCCUAGAGCUAGCUGUGAGCUUGGAUUGUCCUAAAAUGUAACCAUUCAAAAGUUCAUGAAUAGUGCUUAACUCGGAGCUUGAGUUUUCAACGUGAUAUCGAACACGUUCUUACCUGAAAUGGGUACCUUUGAACUCGUAUGGUCCUCACGAACACAAUGGUACCAUUUUCUUCCUCGAUUUGUGAAGAUUUGGCUUGGUUCAAGGUUGUCCGUACGAAGGAGAUGGAAGAGAGAGUGAGUCCGAGAGAGAGUACGGGAGAGAAGAGAGAGAAAAGGUAUGGAUGUGUGUGUGUGGUUCCAAAAUGUACACUAAUCAAAACUCUUUAAUCUUUUAGCUCUAAUUGGGUCCAAUUAGUUAGGGAUAAAACUAAUUGACGCAAUUUCUUAACCCAAAAUACAAACACACACCCAACGCUCAAGGGUAAAUUCGUCUUUUCACAACCACGAUAAUUAUUUCUCGGAACGGGCUGUGACAAUUUUCCUCAUUUUUUGUGUUUAAUUUUCUAUUUAUGGUUGUCUGAAUAUUCAAAUAAUUUUAUUUUCUAUGGACAAUAUUCAAAUUAUUUAAAAGUUGAACCCGUAGCUUAAUUUGAGCCCUAAUUAUACCAAUUGAGCGUAUUAAGAGAAUAUGCCAUAUACUCAAGACUCUGUUUAGUGGUUGCUAAACCACUAGCAUACGUGUAAUGCCAUAUAUCAAAAUCAUUGAUUUUAUUUAUUUAGUACUACAGUUUAGUGGUAUUCCUUUUCACUUGUAAGUGAGAGGUUUUAAGUUCGAUUUUUGCCAAAAGCGAAUUUGAACAACAUUAUUGCUAAUGCAUUGUUAGGCUAAGCACACACCCUCCCAUUUAGUAUAGAUAAUAUCGUUUGUUCCAAAAAAAAAAAAAUCAUUGACUUUAUCCCACACAAUAAUUCACAUUGCACAAAAUCUCGUUGACCUUGAAACAUAAAAACUACCAUGUAUCCAAAUUCUUCCAAGAAAACAUCAAGUACCAAUUAGUAACCAGUUUAUUUAUUUAUAUGAUGAAUCAUCCAUCAUCUUCGUAUCAUCAGAUGAUUUGAAGAGGAAAUGAAUCUAAAUAUGUCCCGCCACUUAAUACUAAAUGAGUAAUGAUGUUUCUCCAUUUUUUUUUUCUUAAUUUCGGUAACAAAACAUUCAGGAGGAGGGGAGGCUACACCAUCAUAUGCGGGCAUAUCACAAGCCUAUCUGAGGACUUACAAACGAGGUCUUAGCUUAUUUGAUGUUUCUCUUUGAGGACUUACAAAGAAAAUUUAUAACAAAAAUCAAUCUACGAAUUCAUUAGCGGACAUGUAAAAGAAGUCAUGAAACAAAACAAAUGAUAAAUAAUUUAGUAGAAACUAUAAAUACUAAUCCAAAUUGCAACAACAAGUGAUAUUAAAGUGAUCAUAUAUUAGCUAAAAUUUGGAACGUUUUGGAAGAAGGAGGAGGGGGCUAUGUGCAAUUGCGUAAGUUGCUCCUCCUCAAAGUUGGAACUGUGUUUAAAAUGGUUUUUAAUUUUCAUUUUAUGUACAUUUUUCUUGCACAUAUAUUUACAUCUACGACAUUAUCCUUCUCCACUCCUAAUUUUUCUUAUACACAUAUAUCAUACUUAUAUCCUAGGCGGAUUUAGAUAAAUCUACUAUAUUUCGUGUAAAUAAAUGUUUGUUUAUACUUAAAAUAUAUAUAAUUUCAUCAUAAACUACAAAAUAGAAUGACAUAUAUAUUAUGAAGUAUUGGAUAUAAUUAAAACAUGAGGAACAAACAUAUAAUGUGUGUUCAUUUAAGUAUUCAACAAGUAUUUACAAUUGAUUGAAAAAAUAAAAUAAAAUGAAAGCUAUUUAUUUUCUGUCUAAGUGAGUCGCAACCUAAUCCGUGCCUAGGUGGGUCUGAGCGGGUUAGGCGGGUGCCUAGACAGUCUAGACACUCUUUCUUAAUUUUUAAGCACCUAAACAUUAAUUAGAGCGAUGACCAGCCGCCUAGCGGAGAUUUUUCAUGACCCCAAAUCUGAUUGGAAUUUGAAAAGUGUGUGUGCAUGUCUUUUCCGCUAAAUUGAAUUUGAUAAAUGCAAGGUCAUUGAUUGUUGUGACAUAAAGUCUUUAACCAAGGACCUGGAUUCUCUCCGUAUCCUUUAUGUGCAGACUCUUGAAAUCAAUUGAUCAUGGCCGUUCACCACAUAUCGAACGGGUACGAUCAAGUCGAUCCCUGCUUUUCUUCUUCCUCUUUUUAUCCACCUUCACCGACCUUGAACUCCCCCUACAACCCACCACUGCCUACUCCAACCUCUUUUCUUCCCCUCUCAAUUUCCCUCUCACAACACCUACCGCCUCUCGGUCCUCUAUUCGCAUCGUCGUGACAUAAUCACCCCGUCCUUUACGACCUCUUCUGCCUAGUCUAGCAAAGAGAAGCUGUUGGCGUGGAGGUGACGAGAUGAUGCCACACGAGCGAGGAUGACGGAGAGAAGGGGGGGAGGAGAGGGAAAAGUAAUUGUUGGUGUUAAAUAGUUUUGAGUUUUUUUAGCCAAAAUGAUCAUUGAGAUUGACAUAAUAUCAUAAUUUUACACUGGUCUAUGAUAAUGAAAAUCGAUAGAAGUGGUCUUUGAGUUGUCUACCGUAACUCAUUUUGGUCAUUCCGUUAAAUACUUGUCAAUAUUUUAGUUAAAUUGUCACGUGAACACUUUUUAAGAUUUUUUUUUAUCAAACCAAUCCCUCCACUUAACAAGGAUAUUAACAGUUUUUUACGGAAUAAACAACAUGAUUUACAACGGACAAACUCAAUGAUCACUUCUACCAAUUUCAUUUAGAAACAAAAAUACGUCAAUCUUAGUGAUCAUUUUGGCUAAAAAGGCAAUAAUUUUGGAAAUGGAUUGGUGAGAGAACGGGAGAAGAGAGAGAAGGCAAAGAACAAGAGUUUGGGCGGGAUUGUAACCGUUCGAUCUGUGGUGAACGACCAAGAGAGUAUCCUGAUCCCUUAACAUGCAUCACACUUAUGUAUUUACUCCUCAAAACUUGUUUUUUUUUUUUUUUACAAAGUAUUUUAUCUUAAAAAAUUUCUCUCAUUUUAUUAUUUAUUUUUUUCUAUAUAAUUCCUGGUAAUAAAGGGCAAAAGGAGAGCAUCAUUUUGCAACCUUUUGUUGUUUACGCUUUAAGAGCAAUCUAUAAUUUGUAUAGACAAUUCACGUAGGCAAAAUUGUAUUAUCCAAGACUGAUGUGGCAUGUUGCCUAUUCAUAAAAAACGAGAUGCGAGGUUCAAUUUGCCUAUUUAUGUUGAAGCAGGCAACAUUCUACUUAUUUUAAAAGAGUAGACAAAAUUUGUUUCCUCAAUUGUGUAUUGUAUUUAAGCAAAUUUUUUAACCGCAUAACUUGUCAAAACGAGAUUGCCUACUCAUCAUAAAACAAUGGGAGUUUUAACGAAAAUCUCGUGGUACUGUUCACUUUAACAAAAAAUCAUAUUUUUACAUUAAAAAGUCAAACAUGAUACUAUUCAUUUGAUCCUUUAUUUUGUUCUUAUCGUUAAAAAUCAAAGUUUUCAAACUUUUUUCAUUAAUUUUCCUUAAAACAAUUAGUAGUUGCUCUCAUACUUUGUUAUUUUGCAACACAUAAUAUUAGGGGUGGGCACGGUUUGGUUCGGUGCGGUUUUGAGUGAAACCAAAAUUGAAACCAAAAUUUUUUGCGAUUUGGUUCGGUGUGGUUUUGAAGCCAAAACCGAAAUGAAACCAAACCGUUUGGUUCGGUUCGGUGUGGUUUCAAACGGUUUUGGUUUGAUUUUUAAGAAAAAUGUACAAUUUGCAAUUUAACAUAUUAAUAAGCAUUUCCUAGUAGCAAUACAUUUGUUACAUAAACAAUUAGCAUGUUAUAUGCAGUUGUGAUGUUAAAAUAUGUUUGUGCAACCAAAUGGUGUCUCGUACAAGGUAUAACAUAAAACAAGUUGAAUAACUUUGAAUUCAUUAAGCAUAAGCAAAACUUUCAUACUAGAAUAUGUGAUAUUAUGCUUCAAAUGAGUGAACUUCAUUAGAUCAUUGUUCAACUCUUGAUAACAAGAUUAGUCCACCCUUGUACAUAUAUGUGUGUGUGUAUGAUGAUAUAAAAUAAUAAAGGUCAUUCAAGUUAAUGAACGAAAUAAAGUGAUGAAUGAUGAUAUUUUAGUGUGGUUGUGUUCAUACUAAGUGCAUGGAUUAUAACCAACAACCAAUUAAAGCAUGAAAUUUAAUAUAGACAUUUAAUUAAAUGUUUAUUAAUAUUUACGGUGCGGUUCCGUUUUCAAAAGCCAAAACCGAAAUCAAACAGUUUUCUAUGUUGCGGUUCGGUUUCAAAACCGAAACUAUUCCAAAACCGCAAAACCAAACCAUUCGAUGCAGUUCGAUUUGAUUCGUGUUUCGAUUUCGAUUUUCGGUUUUAAGUACUUACCCCUACCGAAUAUGCUCUAUGAUUUUUAUGAUUAUAUUCGUGGGGCCGCGUUAAGCUCUCAAGGUCCCCUUAUCUUACUUUUGCGUUUGAAUUUGAUGUUUGAUAGAUGCACAUGUCCUCACCAUUUCACCACCAGAUUUGGCAGCAACUCAACCUCAAACCAUUAACUUCACCAACCCACUCUCUUUGAAGCUUACGCGCCACGCACAUCUCCACAAUCUCACCGUGCAAUUCGCGCGUAAAUGGCAAGCGAGCCUAAAUCAACGUCCUUUGCCGCACGGAAUAAACACGAAGUGUCGUCAUAAUUUGCCACGCUCGUCCAAAACGAGCACGCCACGGCCACGCUACCUUUUUUAUUAUCUUCAACCCGGAAAAAGGGGAAAAUAAAAAAUGGUUCGCCCAAUCCAGGCGGAACACGACAGGCUCUCCACUCUUAAAACAACGCCACAUGCUUUAUCUUGUUUUUUUAUUGUCUCAUGAUAUUUUUGAUGUUUUAUUUUUUAAAUGUCAUUAAAAAUUGCAUUGGAUCCUAUUAAGCGGGAGGUGCAUUCCGAUGGAUGAGGAUCAUCCUCGGAUUCUCUUUGUGGGGAUCUUCAAAAUUUUCACAUCAUAACCGUUUAUUGUAUAUUAUACGAUUCGUUUUCAUCUAAUGCUAUUUGUGUUUAAUUUUAAAUAAAAAAAUUUAAAUAAUUUCUGACGCCCUAUGUACAAUGAAUGACUAAGAUGUGAAGAUUACUUAGAUAAAGUAAUUAGUAUCAACACCAGUUUUUGAACACAAAUAUUCGUAUUAAGUUGUUAAAAGUAUAUUUUUUUAUCCAAAGUGGUUAGAAGUGGUUGAGAUGUGAUAUUUGUUGAUCUUGAACAUGAGAAAGCUUUUGGGCAUUUACAUUUACAAGUUUAUCUCCUUGAAGGUCAAACCAUUUCAAUUUUUAUUGGUAAGGGAUUACGCGGAAAUAUGAUAACAAUCAUUUGUCAUAAAAAAUUAAACCGUAAAAAUUAUUUAAAAAGCUGAAUUACUUAAAUAUUUUAACUUCCAAAGCGAAAAUGUGAUAACAAACAUUUGUAAUAAAAAAUUGAACCGUAAUAAUUAUUCAAAAGGGGAAUUUUAAUUAAAAGCUUCAAAUACGGUUUAUUUUAACGAAAAACCACAUUUUUAAGCUAAAAAAUCAAUUAUGUAUUAUUUAAUUUACUUAUUAUUUUAUUUUUAUUAUUAAAACUCAAAUUUUUUAAACCAUUUCCAUUAAGUUUCUUUAUUUAAAAGGCCGGACUACUUAAAUAUUUUAACUACCGAAGACGGGGAAAUAUGAUAACAAUCAUUUGUAAUAAAAACCCAAAAAGUUGCCAUUUACUUGUAGCGCGCCGUUGGGAGGAGGAGAAUCUUGACGUCUAAGGUUAGGAAGCAUUAGGUCAGCUGCCACUGCCAGGUUUAGGUAAUUUUGACCCAUAAACGAUGGAAAGGCCGCCCUCUCUCCCUCCAACGCAACCGCGACGGCACCGUUUAGACCAACCACCUGGAGUUUCACACAUGGAAAUUCAACCGCCGCUGCCCUCCGACGAAACCUCCACAGUCUGGGAUUGGGGAGAUCUCUUGGAUUUCACCGUCGACGACGACUUGUCCAUCUCCUGGGGCUCCGCCGAGAAUCCGGACCCCGAGGUCGGCCCGGCCCCGGAAGACCCGCCGGAGGAUCCGAAUUCCAAUUCGAGUCGGAUAAGGAAGCGGGACCCGAGGCUGGCUUGCUCCAACUUCUUGGCGGGUCAUAUCCCCUGUGCGUGCCCCGAGGUCGACGCGAGGAUGAUGGAGCUAGAAGAGGAGGAAGCCGGGCACGGGAAGAAGCGGGUUAAGACUGGUCGGGCUACACCCGGGACGGCGCGGUGUCAGGUCCCGUCUUGCGGCAUCGAUAUCAAGGAGCUGAAGGGGUAUCAUCGGAGGCACAGAGUGUGCCUUGCGUGUGCAAAUGCGAUCACUGUCGUUAUCGACGGUGAGACCAAGCGUUAUUGUCAGCAGUGUGGCAAGUAAGCUUAGUUUUUUACUUCAUUUUUUAGGGUUCUCGAUUCUGUUGUUUCAGUUAUGGAAGUUUCGGUUUUGUAGCUUCGAACUGUUUCACUGAGUAAUUUUUCGGAUAAAUUGGUUUUUUCUAGCUCAAUUCGGGGGUAGUGAUUGUAGUCAAACUUAAUCUCUAAAGUGCCAAUGACGAGAACAAUAUCCACAAAUCGUUUUGGCUUCAAAUUGACUGUUAAUUUGAAGGCUUUACCUAAGUUGGGGCAGAAGGGUUUCGCUGGACUUGUUUAACUCCCAAAAAUGUGGAGUAGGGAAUGUUUAGAAGCAAUGCUGACAGUAUCAACCUGCUACUGUUAGACUACCCUGAAGUCUCUUUGUGUUCGUGAGCGAACACAGUAGAGAUAAAUAGUUACUCAAGGCUUAGAUUGAUAUAAAUUAGUGCCGCUAAGCAAAUUCGGUAACGAUAAAGCACAUGAUUUAUCUUACUGGGAAAUCAUUUGAAUUUGUUGGGCAGAAUUUGGCUUCGGAAGUGUUUAGGUGUAGGCAAUCGGAGAAAUUUUCUUAGGAACGAGACAAGUAUCACUUUAUCAGAAAGGAUAUGCGUUCUAAGCUUUAUUCUGCAACGCUGGAAAUAUUGGGGAACUUUCAGUGAAAUAAGAAAAGCAGUUAGGAGGAUGGUAGCACAUAGCUCGACAAUAAAAAUAAGAAAAGCAGUUAGGAGGAUGGUACAAUAUAAUGUUGGAGAGACAAAAUGAACGCAACAGACGCAAGUGGUUUACUUCGCAGUUGCACGGAUGACACUAUAUUCAUUUAUUGGUUUGGAGGUACUGAAAUAAGAUAUUAAUAUUAAGUUGUUAGCUUCUUUUUGCUAAGGCCCUUUUAUGUAUAAAGAUGGAUGCUGAGAAAAGUGAGGUAACCCCUAUUAGCAAUUUAGCACAUUUGUUUAUGCAUACUUGGUGCUGUUUUUUGGAAGUGUGGCAGGUUAAGACAAGAAAUACUUUAUACCAUAUAGAAGAUCAGCUGGUCUGAGAUGAGAGAGUUGUAGAGUUGUCACUGCUCUAUUUUAUUGAGGAACUGCAUGUAUUAUUCUUGUUAUAAUGUGCUGGGAUUAUUUUGAUAUUGUUUUUGUAAUUUCGUUAUUGUUUUUGUAAUUUCGUUUCUGCAUGUAUGGCCAUUCUUUGGCAGGUUCCAUGUCUUACCAGACUUUGAUGAAGGUAAGCGAAGUUGUCGAAGAAAAUUAGAGCGUCAUAAUAACAGACGGCGAAGGAAACCUAGUGAUUCUAAAGGAGCAAGUGGAAAGGAAUCACAAAAGGAAAAUCAAACUGAAGAGACCAAUUUUGAUGGUGGAGCAACAGAAGGUAUUUAAUGUUUGUUUUUUAUGCGAACAGCUUGUAAAAGAGUAGUAAAGCUGCAACACUGCUUUGGAAGAAGAAUCUACUAGUCUAAUUGUAUGUAUAAUGUACAGACAGUCUACAGUUAAGUAGCCAGCUGAAUGAGAAGGAAGAAUUGCUGGUGUCUGAAGGUGGGCGAACUCCUAUCCUCUGUUCAGUGCCUGAAUCCCAGAAUGCCCAUAGUGACAGUGUUGUAUCAGUUAUGGCUUCUGGUGAAACCCAAAAGGAUGCAAGAAAACAUGAUUCUAACAACUCUCUUUCUCCGCCUAAUUGCGACAACAAAAGCUACUCAUCUAUGGUAGGUUUUGCUAAUGUUGUAGCUUUUGCAUGGCUGACUUCGAUUUUAAUAUGAGGAGCUCUGUUUGAGGCAUACUGAUUUGAUACAUUCUUGUAGUGUCCGACAGGUCGUAUAUCAUUCAAGCUCUACGAUUGGAAUCCAGCAGAAUUUCCUAGAAGACUUCGGCACCAAGUACUAUUAAAAGAUUGUCAUUACAGUUUAGUAUAUACAGGGAGAAAUUUUUUUCGAUGGAAAAAACAUCAGGAAUCGAUUAACAAGUGAGCGUAUGUUUUUGCAGAUCUUCCAAUGGUUGGCCAAUAUGCCGGUUGAGUUGGAGGGAUAUAUCCGCCCUGGAUGUACUAUCUUGACUAUUUUUAUUGCAAUGCCUAAGUUUAUGUGGAUGAAGGUAAUGGUGUUGACAAUCUUAUUUGUAAGAUUGAGUUUGUCACAGCCUUUCUCUUACCUUCACUCUACAAAUUUUGUUCAACCACUUUGGUUUUGACGAUAUUUAUUUUUCAGUUGCUUGAAGAUCCUGUAUCAUACAUACAUGAGUUUGUUUCUGUACCUGGGAAAAUGCUAUCCGGGAGAGGCAAUAUACUUAUUUAUCUAAACGACAUGAUUUUCCGUAUUGUAAAAGGUAAUCUGAUGCUUCAUAUCAGUGUUAUGUUUCUAUUAGUUUAUUUCGUUUUAUGGAAAGUAAUUGGUCUUUACUAGUAUUUUGUAUUACUGACUUGCUUCUUUUUAUUUUGAUGUGCACAGAUGGGACUUCUGUAAUAAAAACAAAAGUGGAGGUGCAGGCCCCAAGGCUUCAUUACGUUCAUCCUACAUUUUUUGAGGCUGGCAAACCCAUGGAGUUUGUUGCCUGUGGAAGUAAUUUAUUACAACCCAAAUUUCGGUAGGGGCUUCCAAUCAAGGUUUUCCACCUAUUUUAGUAGUUUGUUGUGUUGUACCUUUGAUUCACUCCUUUCAGCUCUGUUGUGUUGCUUGUCUCCAAUUCUCAAUCAUGUAUUAUUAUGAUCAGCUUGCUUUUUAUUCACACACCGUUUCCUAUAAACUGUAAUUUAUUUGAACUGUUAAUAAACUUGAUGGACACUCUCAACACUCUACAUAGACUUGUCACUAUUUGAUAGCACAUAAUUGCUACUCUUCUCUGUUGCUCCUAAACUUUAAAACUCAUGGUGAUCUUGAGAUGUAUCUCAAAUAUGGAAAAUAUCUAUAGUUGUCAUUUUGGUGUAUCUUUUAUAGUAUUCUGUUAACUGUUCCAUGCUUGUAGAGAGUAAAAUUGUUGUCACAUAAGCUUCUUAAUAAAGAUCUUUACGGUUACAGAUUUCUGGUAUCCUUCUCUGGAAAGUAUCUGGCCUAUAACUAUUCUCCUCCAUCUUCUCAUAGUCGGAUUGAAGGGGACACUGCUAGUAAUUUAGACCAUCAAUUGUGCAAGAUACAGGUCCCUCAAACUGACGCAGAUUGUUUUGGUCCAGCAUUUAUUGAGGUCAAUAUUCUGGUUUCUUCUCUUUUUUACUUUUUUUACACCAUGUUCAACUAUCAGUUGGGACAUUCAAUCUAUCUAUAUAGUUGUUGGUCAUAUGUAAAUAUUUCUGGUAUAUAUUUAGCCUCGUUCUGGUGUAUAUCUUGUCUAAUCAUUUUUCCAGACUCCAGUGAUCAAAAUAGCAUUAUAACCAGGGAUUUAUAAAAUUGAUAUGUGGUUAGUUUCUUUAGCUGGUCAUGCAUUUGAGAGCGCUUGGUCUUCAAACUGGCAUCUCGUGUGGUAUAUGGCACAAUUACGUAGGUUGCUGAUAACAUUAGCCAUAAGCUUUAACUCUGGACCAGAAUCUGCGAUAUCUGUACUGUACCAGAUUCAUGUAGACAAAAAUAAAACUUUAACAUUCAUACAGAGAUAUAACCAUGGUUGACCGUAGCAUUUUAAAGCAUGAGACUUGGUUUUGAAAUUACCAGGAAUUUUUCUUGUCUCCUAAUUUAUUAUUGGUGGAAUCUAUGUUGCAGAUUGAGAAUGAAUCUGGCUUAUCCAACUUUAUGCCAGUACUCAUUGGGGACAAAGAGGUUUGUGCAGAAAUGAAGACUAUUCAGAAGAGAUAUGAAGAAUCUUUCUCUUCGCAAGGAUUACGCUUUUCUUUCACCGGUUCUCUUUCAAACUCUUGUGAAGCAUCUUCACUGAGGCACACAGCAUUUUCUGAAGUUAUUUUAGAUAUAGCAUGGUUAUUAAAAAAGCCCUCGUCAGAAAACUUUCAACAGAUCAUAACUGCUUCACAGAUUCAAAGAUUCAACUAUCUAUUGAACUUUUUGAUAUCCAUCAAGUCAACAACCAUAUUGGACAAAGUUUUACAAAAUCUGGAGACUCUGAUGGCUAAAAUGGAGUUGAACAGUGCAAAUAAUGGCAGCAUUGAUGCAGAUAUGAGGCUAUUACAGAAUUACAUGAAUUAUGCCCGUGAUCUUCUUUGUCAAAAAUUCGAAAGCUCUGGAAGGUUGGUGAAAAAAGAGGAUCUUGUCUCUCAAAGUCAAACCUGCUUUCAGAAUGAUGGAAAAUUGGUUGCUCCAUUCCACUGUCAGGUGAGGGCUUCAGUUUUCAGAUUUAUAUUUUCUGAUAUCAGUUAAUCCUUUAUUUAAGUUAGCUUUUCGCUUUACAUUUUUCUCAUUUUCAAUUUAGCAUUUAAUCUCAUCGGGUGCUACAAUUCCCUUGUACUCAUGAAGGAAUUAUUUGAUUCUACAGUUUGGCUAGGUUGUGGUUGAGCUUGCAAUCCUUUGUUUUUUAUCCUUCUCCAUUUUUACAAUUGAGAUACCAGUUUUACAUUUGCCAUCUAUGAUCUUAUAACUAUUUGAAGAAUUCACCAUUGAAUUUGUAUCUGUAAAAGGUUUUCGAACUUAUAGCUGGUAUAAGAGAUCUUCAUUGGGAGUAUGGUGGUUUUGUUGAGCAUGAUUGAUGACUGUAUAUGUUUAAAAUUUCAUGACUUGUUAUUUUCAUAAACUGAUACGUGUUUUGUUACAUGAACUGUUAUUUAAAGCAGGAUACGGAGAUAACUGUAGACGGUAGGCUGGGUGUGAUUGUGGGUUCAACUUUUGACGAGAGAAGUGAAACUGUUCCGCUUUUGAGUAAAAAAGCAGUCGGUAAAGCUAACCUCAUCAAGGAAUUGCCUAGUUUGGCUAAGCGUUGCACUUCUGGGGAGGUCUUAUGGUCUCGCUCUGGUGGGAUGUUCUUGAGAUUUCGCCCUACGCUUCUCGUAAUUUCUGCUACAGCUAUCUGUGUAGGAUUUUGUGCGGUCCUCAUCCAUCCUCACAAGGUUGGCGAGUUUGCAGUAACGAUACGCAGAUGUUUAUUUGACAAAUUUUAGACGUUUAAGCAUUUUUUUCUUCGCCCUUUAAUGUAUUUCGCAGCCCCUAAAUCUUCUGUACAUAUUAUCUCCGUUGUACAUAACUUUCUAACACUAGAUUAAGACAAGCCGCUAUAAAGUUAUCUUGUCACCGUUGUAGUUCUUGCUGGAAUCGGAAAUUCUGGAGGCGAUGUUUGCCCACGGCGUUUGAGAUGGUUAUACUUCUUUUCGAAAAUGAAGCUUUUGCUCGAAAUUUGGUUGUCCUGUUGGGCUUAGUUAACAAGAAAACCUGGUUUCCAAUCGGUUUGCUUCCAAAUUGUAAAUUUGUGAAGAUCUGAAAUCAAGGGUCUCCUGCUUUUUGAAUUCUAGUUUUAGCCGUCUUUGUAAGAGGAAGUUGUACCAAUGGUCUUUCAAAUUUAACUCAAUUAGAGUAAUGGUUUUUUAACUAAAAGUAUGUGACCAUUAGUUUUUUAACUCAUCAAAACGAGUAGUUAUGAUUUUUUUUUGUCAACUCCAUUAGAAAUUUCGUUAAAAUGAGUCACGUGCUACGUACGUGAAGCUGAAUUAAGGGGCAAAUAUGGAAAACCAAAUGAGAAAAAUUGUAGUAAUAGUCUCUCAACUUUAAUCCAAUUAGAGAAAUGGUUCCUCACCUUUAACCAAAUUGGAGUAAUGGUCCCUAAACCAAAUCGUAGCAGUGGUCCUUUCAACGUGACUCAUUUUGAUGGAAUACUGAUGGAGUUAACGAAAAGGACCAUCGUUGCACAUUUUGAUGAGUUAAAGGACCAAUGGUCAUGUAUUUUUAGUUGAGGGACCAUUGGUUCAUUUGGAUUAAAGUUGAGGAACUAUCUCUAUAAUUUUUUUGUCUUUAUAAAGAGAAGUGAACUCAUUCCAAAGAAAAGAGUGACACCAUAUUAUAUGGGGUGCAUUUUUGCUCGAACUUUAACUCAUCUGGCAGUGAUAAAUAAAGUGGUGAGCGUUACUUUCAUUUGAGAGUGUUGAGCAAAAAUAUCUCCUAUUAUAUGGAGACCCUCAAAUAAAUUGAAACUUCUCAUUGGCUGGCUACAAUAUUUACAUGCAUUUAAUACAAUCAUCAUUUGAUGGUCAGAUAUAAUGUAUGUUAAUAUAUAUAUUUAAUACAAUCAUCAUUCGACAGUCAAAUGAUGUUAUAUUAAAUUCACAUGAGUAUUGUAUCCAAAUCCUAAUUAUAAAUUUUCAGCAUAUAUUCUAUUUAGAAUCUAGACUAUAAUUUCAGGAUAUAGUAUGUGACAUGUUUCAAUGUUCUAGUAUAAUUGGAGCUUGAAAAAAAAAAACUGAGAAUGGAUGAGUGUUUAUACUUUACUUUAAGGCAUAAUAUUAAUAAUUAACAUGUGUUAAAAUGAGUAGAAAGUUGCAAAGAGUUUGCAUAAUGUUCGUUAGCUUAGAGUAUUCACUCACACAUUUAUUCUCUUUGUAUGAUACUAAAAAUGGUUGUAUAGAGUGAAAUUUAUUCUUAUCAAACAGAAGACCAGCCUCAAGUACCCAUCUACAAACUUUUAAAAAGAAUUUUAUAAUAAAAAUAAGAGUAGAAAAUUAUUCCGCGUCACCAUAUUGCAGUACUAGAACAUGCUCACAAAUUACAAAUUAAAUGACGCAAUUAGAUUUAGUAUGUUCAUUUAUUAUUUAUUUGCUUGAUAAUUCAUUGGAAAAUUGUGUCUUUGUCGCAACGAAAUCUCAAAGCAUACUCCCUUUCAACUGAUCAUUCAUUAUACCACGCUAACCAUUAAGUUUAAUCACCAAUAACAAAUUUGCAUAAUUCGGCCAUGUUCAUAUUCGCGCAGUUGGAUUUGUAAAAGCUAGAUUGAGAUCUACUUUGGAUCUGUGUGUUCGGAGCAUGCAAAGUGAGGUAUUCAAACCACUCAGUUUUUGUCCUACGAUCUCCAUUAGUCCAUCCUACUAGCUCACUUCACAAAAAUUCAAAAACUUGAAUGGUCAGAAUCGAUAUGCGAAUUACAAGACCGAAAUUCAGAGUAGAUCUCUUUCUACGUCGUUUAACUUUAUGAUGAUACUCUAUGGGAACAUAUUCAGGGCUGGUUUGGUAUUAUUUAGCUUUGAAAAAAAACUGCUUCUGUUGUGCUGUGAGAAUAAACAGCUGUGAAAUAAAGCAGCAGAGUAUUUGGUAAAUUUUUUUUGUAAAAGUGCUUUUGGAAAAAAAAAACAGUAUUAUAGUGUUUGGUAAACUUUUAUGUAAAGCAAUUGUGACUGUGUGAAAUGACCAAAAAGGGUAUAAUACUAGAUGUGCCAUUAAUUUAUUUUUCUUAACAAAUAAAGGUGAAUUACUAAAUAUACUUUAUUUUUAAAAGAAAAAAUGUAUAAACUUUAUCUUAAACAUAUAAUCCAAAGUUUAACAAGAAAUCAUAAUCCAACAUUCAACAUAUAAUCAAACAUUUAUGCUGCUUCAUGUUUUCAGCUUUUUUUCAAAGCUCAUUUUGUUGCUUCACAUUUUCAGCUUUUUUUUCAUCUAAAACUGUGAAAAUAAGCUGUUUUUAAGUGUUUACCAAACAUCUUUUUAAGUUCAACUUUUUUUUAUACCUAUUUUUUAUAUAAGUACAUCAGUACAAAACCAGUACUCAAUAUUGUGAUUCUUUGAGAAUCAAAAGUGCGAGAAGCGUACAUCUACUUGCUUGUAGGAAGAAAACACUCGAGCAACUAACUCUAUAGAAUCCAUAAGCUCAUGUAACCCUCAAACACUUUAGAGAUUUUGAGAUCAUAAAUGUAAGAUAAUUACACACGCCAAAGGCCCCAACAAAACUGAAGAUGAUAUUUCUUCACGUAAGUGUAUUGUGUGUGACGAUAUGGUGGCUACUUUCAAAUCACGAUGUGACAUGGGAUAUUUUUACUCCUCUCUCGCCAUAAAUCCUCCAAAUACAUAAUCACUAACGUAAAGAGACUUUGAAUUAUUUUGAAGGUUGUAGAAGAUAAGGAAAGAUCUCAGAAGUCAAGAGACAUUGAAUUUUGAAAGUGACCCACCAUUCCCAUCAUAUGAUAUAUGUUGCAUAUUGAUGUAACUCACCACCACACUAUAAUACUACUAUAAUACUGAGUUUCGUUUCUACUAAGUGAAAUUGAUUCUAUGUAUUUUAGAAUAUCACUACUUUACAAUAACUAAUUAACAUGGAUCGUAUCACAAAUUAGAUCACCCACUACUCAAUCAAAACGUGAGGCAAAUUAUAUUUUGUACCACGUUAGUUACUAUAUGACGUAAACAAUGGUCUAUAUAAUGUCACAUAAUAAAGGACAAUAUGUAGUAUAAAUAUAUAGCAUCCCCCACACUACUCAUACCCGUAUUAUGAUGAACAUUGUCUUUGUAACUUGCAAAACAUAAAACUUGCAUAAAUAAUGAAGCGAUUUAAAAAACAAUAAAUUACAAAAUUUAUAACAAAUGUGUGUCAAACUAUGAGUGGUUCAUUUGUAAGGAGCUUAAUAUUUUCCACGAACAAAAAUUGGACCAUUCAAUAAACAUCUUAAAUGAGUUUUGCAAGUUAGGGAUGCAUACGAUAUUAUCUACACGAAAGAUGGGUAGUAGACUAAACCUCAUAAGUUGAAAGUUUAAACUCAUACAAAUUAUACUUAAUCAGGCUCUUUAAAGAAAGAGGUCUUCAUUUUUUUUUAAUAAAAAAAUAGAGAUUAAUUAUAGGAUCUAUUCCAUAUGAAACUUCAUUGAUCCGAAUUAUCUAUUUUUGUCUCUAUUGAUAGAUGAUACUUGCAAAAAAUCUAUUCAAUCCGAAACCAUUUGUCGAUUUAAUUGUCAGAAUGAAAUUUUAAUAAUUUAGAAUAUAGUGUUCGUUAAUUACUUUGAACUUAAUUAGAACCUAAAAUAUUUUCGAUUUGGUUAAUAUUUUACUAGAAUGAUCUAGGAAGUGUAACUUAAAAAAUACACAAUUAUGAUCAAUGAAUUUCGAUGUGAAAUGGAUCCUAUUUUUUUAUUUUUAAAACAUAGACAUCCUUUUCCUUAAAAAAAUAUGAAUACUUAAUUAUUACUACGAGUGAUCGGUCAAAUUAUGCGCACCGUUUAUUUUAUAUAUUAAAUAAAAUCAUCUCUCUUACUUGCCAGCUCCAUCUUUGGCAAAAAAAAACACGACGCACACAAUGCCCUGCCGCCCACUGCCCCGUUUGAUUUUUGUCAUCGUCCUUAAACUGCAUAAGGUCCACGUAAGCAUGCAGAAUCAUUUAUCCUUAAUUAAUCAUAAAAUAAUAUUACAGAGAUUAAAUUUGUAAACUAAAUGAUGUGUCACCAAUACGAAUGUGUACAUUUAUCAACACUUAAUAAACCAAUCAUCAACUUCUAUAUCCUUUAGUUUUCCAAAAUUUUAUCUCUCUACUCUCCUUGAAUAACAUAAGUUUGAUCACAUGCAUAGUCUGCUUAAAAUUUCUUAAUUAUCAGUUAACACCGGACUUAUGUUUUAGUCUGCUCCACUUGUUCAAAGAAUUUUUUCGGCCUGCCAAAACGGUUCGGUUCCAAAGAAUUUGGAUCUCGGAAUCUUCAUAUCUUAAUCAUUCAUCAUGUAUCGUAUGGUAACAAAUCAGUUGAUAUUUUUAUUUAAAAUUAAGUACAAUAUACGAUAAACAUUUAAGAUAUAGAAAUCCUUAAGAUCUUUACAAAAUAAAUCCGGAAAGGAUCAUCUUCCAGUACCAAAUAUCAUACAAUAUAAUUAAUUAAAAAUUUUAAACUUUUCAACUAAUUAUGUUAGUACAAUUAACAAACCAGUUCUUGACACUCUAAAAAUCUCUGGUUCAUCUGCUACAACCUUCUAGCGUUGCCCUUUACCUAUUCAUCGGAGUCAAUUGGUAGCAGCCAAGCUUAUAAAUAUCUAGAUGCAUUUUAUAAUUGUUUAUUAUUUUUAAUUAGAAAAAAUCUCGAGAUGCAUGCAGUUUGACAAGUGUAUAAAUACAUCACAACAAAACCAAAGUUCUGCAUCCCAAUCCCACCAGGAUUCUGGAGGCCUACCGGAGCAAAACUCCUCCAAUUUGCUCCUGUUUUUCUUCUUCUUUGUUUUUUUUUUUUAAAUUAAAAUUAAAAUUUGUGAUUAGUGUAGUGAAUUAAAACAUGGCAAUUGGGGAGUGCAGAGAUGUUGAGAGUGGGGAAGGUAAUAAUCUUGGGGAUUUAGAUUUAAAACAGCCUUUGGUGAUUAAGAAAGACAAAAUCUUUGCUCAUGAAGAUGGUGAUCAAGGGAGUGACAAAAGUGGAUCAAUUGGGAUGGUUUUGGUCAGCACUUUUGUUGCUGUUUGUGGCUCUUUUGAAUUUGGAUCGUGCGUAAGUACUAUUCUUAAAAAAACUACCUAUAAACAUUCUUGUUCUUUUUAAUUUAUGAAGAAUGAAACUCCAAGUUGGGUGUGGGCACGCUGUCCUGACCAAUUUGCCUAACCGAUCCCUGUUUUGAAUUUGGCCUUCUGUUUUCUUGGUCUUUUGCUUUUGUAAUUAGAUUUCCUGCAGUUUUGCUGGGUUUAGAAAGCUGCCUGGUUUACUUAUGUGUUAUUAUUGUUGUUUGUGUUUCUUCUGAUAAUUAGGGGGCAAAAAUACAAAAUAAUCCAAAAAAAAGAAAAAAGAAAAAAGAAGAGAGGUUUGUUUAGCUUAAGUUAUUGUUUUGGCAGGUGGGAUAUUCAGCACCCACUCAAUCUGCUAUCAGGGAAGAUCUUAAUCUCUCUCUUGCUCAGGUAAGUUGCCUUCUUCUUCCUCCUCAAGAAAUGCAUUUCUUUUUACAGUGAAGUGAAUUGGUUACUAAUAAUUUGAAGUCGUAUGGCAGUUCUCCAUGUUUGGAUCAAUUUUAACAAUUGGUGGAAUGCUGGGUGCUGUAACAAGUGGCCGGACUGCAGAUUUUCUCGGCCGAAAAGGGGUACGGUAAAUCUUAAUUUCUGAUGUAAAAGUUGAAAGUUUGGAAGCUCUGGUAAUUAAUUUUGUACUAAUUGAGUUUCUUGAAAAUUAUGUGAAAGUAGGCAAUGAGGAUGUCAGCUAGUUUCUGCAUCACAGGAUGGCUAGCAAUCUACUUCUCUAAGGUAUAUGUUUGCACCAUUUGUAAUUCUUCAAUUUAUUUAACUAAGUUCAGUUAAAUGGGGUUCUCAUACUGAUCAGGUUUUUUUUUAUUUUUUUUAUAAAUUUUGUGCAGGGAGCUUUGUCACUUGAUGUAGGAAGGUUUUUUACUGGAUUUGGAAUUGGCGUUUUCUCUUAUGUGGUAUGCAUAUUUCCUUAAAACUCGAGUUCUUGUGUUUGCAAUGUAUGAGCAAGGAUGUGUGAGCUGGUGAUUGCUUUCUUAUUGGAACCAUUUAUUGAUGAUUAUUUCGAAGUUUUAACAAAAAUCAGCAAUCUGGAUGGACAGGUACCCAUAUUCAUAGCAGAAAUCGGGCCCAAAAAUCUCCGCGGAGGGCUUACAACGCUAAAUCAGGUACGAGGGUUUAGAGAUUUCUGUGCGCAUAAUUUCCUCCCUACUUGAAAAGCAUAUGAUCUUUUAACAUAAUGUUAUCUCUGUCUCUCUACUUGUUCUGCAGCUCAUGAUUGUAACUGGAUCAUCAGUUUCGUUCGUAAUAGGAACAAUAAUAAGUUGGGAAACACUAGCUCUGACUGGUAAGUUCUUAUUUGAUAGGAUAUUUGUUGUUCUUAAUUACAAUAGGUGGUUCGCGUAAGUGCCUUUGAAAGGAACUGAUAGUUGUGUUUUGAUCUGAAGGAAUUAUUCCUUGCAUUUUCCUGCUUGUCGGUCUAUGUUUUGUUCCAGAGUCCCCUAGAUGGCUGGUGAGGUUUCAAUCGAAAAUGAUGCUCCGGGCUUUUUGUUAUCAUGUUUUUACCAUUAUAAAGGACGAAUAAAUAAGAACAAGAAAGAUGUUUAAGGCUGAAAGCAUUGUUUUCAGGCAAAGAUUGGCCGUGAGAAGGAAUUUCAAGUUGCGCUGCAGAGACUCCGCGGAAAGGAUGCCGAUAUAUCUGAUGAAAUGGAUGAAAUUCAAGUACUUGUUUUGAACCAUAAAAAACAUUGGUCAUCUUUUAUAUCUAUCAAAAUUAACAUUUCUAACAAAACGACCGUCUGUAUCUUGACAGGAAUAUAUUGCUACCCUACAAAGUCUUCCUAAAGCCAACAUGUUGGAUUUGUUUCAGAGCAAAUAUAUUCGAGCUGUGAUUGUACGCGUCCCUCUUUUCUGUCGAUUUUCAUUAUUUCCUUUAGUUCCAUUAAGCAAAUGUCAUCCAUUUUUUUUUAAACUGAAAUCCUGAACAUGGUUUUGGUUCUAGAUUGGGGUUGGAUUAAUGGUGUUUCAACAAUUUGGAGGCAUUAACGGAAUAGGAUUCUAUGCAAGUCAAACCUUCGAAGAAGCUGGUAUAUAUACAUAUUCAACCAGGGCUUUCCUAUACCUCGUUUCAUUUCGCUAAUCUUUCUCGUAAAACUUUUCUCCUUCUGUAAUGUCCAUUGCAGGAAUUUCAAGCAAAAUAGGAACCAUAGCUUAUGCGUGCGUUCAGGCAAUCAUUUUCUCCUAUCUUCCGUUAAAUCUCAAAUGUUUGAGUUUGUUCAUCCAAAGCUCAUCUCAUGUAAAAUUCAUUGACAGGUCCCGAUCACCGUAGUGGGAGCAGCUUUAAUCGAUAAGUCAGGAAGGAGGCCUCUUAUAAUGGUAGCAAUUGAUCUAGAAAACCUGACCGCUUACGAAUGAUCUUUAUAUGUAUAUACAAAACUGAGGAUUUUUGUUUUGGUAUGAAGGUUUCCGCAACCGGGACAUUCCUAGGCUGUUUCCUUGCAGGAACUUCUUUCUUUCUGAAGGUACUAAAAGUUCAAAAACUAUAUCCUGCAACAACAUUGUUCUGCGCCUGAAUCCCGUUACAUUGUGGUCUAAUGUUGUACAAUUCAUCUUUCAAUAUCAGGGAAAUGGAUUGUUGCUCGAUUGGGUACCAAUAAUAGCUGUGUCCGGCGUGCUGGUAAGUUAACCAUACUAUACUGCAUACUUCAAUAGUAUCAUGUAACUAUGUUAUUCCAGCUUCUCAAUGUACUAAUUUGUUUGUUCUUUGUCCCUUUGAAAUCAGAUUUACAUUGCGUCUUUCUCGCUUGGAAUGGGAGCAGUGCCUUGGGUGAUCAUGUCUGAGGUAAUGUUGAAAAAUUAACCUGUCAGUUUCUCAAUGCGACCGAUAAUAUGAUACGUCCUUAAGCACGCUGAACCGAGUGUGAUUCCCUUUGCAGGUUUUCCCAAUCCAUGUGAAGGGAGCAGCCGGAAGCUUGGUGGUGCUCAUGAACUGGUUGGGAGCAUGGGCAGUUUCCUAUACUUACAACUUUCUUAUGAGCUGGAGUUCCUCAAGUAAGUAAACAACUUCUGCACCAAGCACACCACGUACAUUAUACUGAUUGGUUAGCGCGUGCCAAAAAAUGUGUUCCCUGAUCCCGACCCUAUAUACUUGAUUUGUCGUACAGGAACUUACUACAUUUACGCCGGAUUCUCUUUGUUGACCAUCAUAUUUGUGGCCAAGUUAGUCCCGGAGACCAAAGGCAAAACACUAGAAGAAAUCCAGGCUUGCAUCAAUUCAGAUAAAGGAGGACAAGAUGUUGUUAACUGAUAGCAUGUAGGAGUAGAGUUGUUAGAAAUUUGUAUCUUGUGUUUGGCUCAAAGUGUCUACUCCAUUUUGAUUUGGAGGUGUGAGAAUUCACGUCGUUGGAGCGAUACGAGAGGAUUGCAGGCAACAUAUUUCAUUCUGCGUCAAAUUCCUUGGCUUUCAGCUCAAAAUGGAAGAGACCUUGUGGCAAAAUGCGCUUUUGUAUUAUGCCUGUAUAAGGGCCUGAUAUAAUCCCUAAUAAGAGACUAAGGAGGCGUUUGUUUGCCCUCACUAAGUGUUAUUGGACUAGACUGGACUAACAAUUAGUCCAAUCAAGUGUUUGUUUUGUACUGGGAUUAUGUUUAAUGAGACUAAGAGGGACUCACAAACAAACUCCUUCGCUAGGAGUUCUUAGCGAGACCCCUCAAUACCCAUGGAUUGCUAAGACCUCGUCUGCUCCGUCUUCAUAUGCUCCGUCCUCAUCGUGCUCUUAUCUCUCUGCUCUCUGUUCUCUUGAGCACUGACAACCACCAUCACACCACAACUCACCAACUCUAGCGAGACCACACCACCAGCCCACCACCACUCUCUCCCUAUCUCCUCACCCUAAACCGAGAAUUUCGAACUGAGGAAGAUCCCACUCUUACCGUUGUCCGUCCAACUCUAGCCAUCCUCCGAUCCACCUCCGAGGAAGAUCUUGCACUUGCUGUCCUCGAUUCAAUACUGCCGAGGAGUUGUGUAGGUUAAUUUAUUUCAUUUCCUAUAUUUUUUUUUGUUCAAUUUCAAACUCGUGAUGCAUCUCUAAAAAGGGCAGCAAAGCCUUGACUCGUAGCUCCAGCACCAAGCCCCUUCUCCAGCCCCACCAGCUUGUUCAUCAGGUUUGUGUUAAUGGGUUUGAUAAAGUUACGUUAAUUUGGAUUAAACUUUAUUAAUUUUUGGUCAAUUACUUGGCUUGAUUUGUGAUUUUUGCUACUUAGUUUCCUUGUCGUCACUUUUGAAAGAGGCUAUGGUUUGAUUUUGACCCUAAUCCAUCACCAGCGCCUUACCUUUCUGGAAGUGGAUAACCCCAAUUAAAGUCCUUAAAUAAGUUAGUCAUACCACAGUAUAUCACUAGUCAAUUAAAGGUCCUCAAAUAAGUUCUUUGAGUAUUGUGCAAUCUUACUUGUUCAGGUUUUUUUCAUGUGGAAACAUUACAAAUCUAUGGUAUUAAUCUGCUUCUUGUGUUAAACUUUUGGUCUUUAUUUGUUUGCCUUGUAUGAAUGAAUCUGAAAAUUCUUUUGAAUGUAGCCAAGAUGGAAUGUUUGGGGUUGUGAUGUUGGUCUCCAUAUGUGGAGGAAAUUGGUGUGUUUUGGCAUUGGGUCUUCAAUGGUUAAGUAUUUUGGGAUCAAUUUUGUGGAGUAACUCAGAUCGUGAAGAUUUUUAUUUGAAAAGAAAAAUGAUCAAUUGCAGCACUGCUGUUUUACCUUCUUUUUGUACUAGGAAAGCUAUCUUAGCUAUGAGUUUGGCUAUUGUAGUUGAUAUGGUUCUGAUAGCACGCCAAGCAUUAUUUGGAUAUGGGACAUGUUUCAUACGCCAUUUUGAACUCGCUGCUAUCUUGAUAUAGAAAUAUCUUAUUCGUGCAGCAGUUUGGGAUCCUACGUGCACCUGUCCUGUUGUUUGCACAGGAAGUUCUCGUUUGUACAUAUGGACUCUUGGUAUUGCCUACAGUGUGAGCAUCCUGCCCUAACCAUAAUUUAGCAUACUUGAUCUAAAAUGGAAUUGAGUUGGAAGCUAUCUCCUCUGUUGCAGUUCUUGAAUUGAGUAGAUAUAGCUUGAAUGAUUGAGGCAGUUAGCUAUUUUCCAGAGUUUAUUGUAAAAAAUUGUAGAAUGUACAAUUAAGCAGUUUACCUUGCUCUGCUGUGUACUAUAUUAAUGUAGUAUUGGGAUCUUUCUUUUGUUCUAGUUGGAACAUCCAACAGUUUGAUUAAAUUGGUGACCUUUCCCUUUCUCAUUUGUUUUUUCCUUUCAAUGGAUUAGCACUAGUGCACAUGGAAUUGACUAAUUGACUUGCUUCAUUGUCAGGGAAGACAUUUUAAUUGCUUAGUUUUAUAUACAAAUGGAAUGCAUAAAUUGUUCAUGAUCUCUUCCUUUUGCAUAUUGUUACUAGUUUCCUUCAAACUAGUUGAAGCAAGCCAAUUUACAUGCUAGAAAUCCAAAUGUAGCAAUGAUCAAUGCACAUCUAUCCGUUUGUCAUUGUGCCUCGCAUCAUUAUGGUCUUGGGAUUGAAUGCAAUUGUCAUGAUAUGGAAUGAAAUUGGCUUAUACAUACAAGAGCAAUUCCAAGUAAUUAUUUCACAAUUGAGUACAAAACUGAACUUGUCAGACAUCAAUUUUCGUUCUACUCAAAUACAAGUAUAAACCAACACCUUUAACUUUAAUCUACAACUUUAAACCAAAGGUGAAUAAUUAAGAAAAGAAUCCUGAACCCUGUCGAUUGUUGGAAGAACACUUUGUUAUAUUGAUGUUUGGAACAAUGCUACUCUUGAAUCAUGUAUGUUUCUUUCGUUGGCAAGAAAAUUUGGUUUUUGUAUUUUUAUUGAGUCUCACUCUCAACCAAUAUUAUUAAUUUUAAUAAUAUCUUUAAUAAAAAAACAAUUAAAAUAGAACAAUAAUGUAGUCUUAGUUUGAGCCAACAUCAAAUUGGUGACAAUACUAUUUUCAUUAUCCUGCUUCUUAGUCCGAUACUGCACCAAAUGCUUCACUAAGUUAGUCCAACUUAGUCUAGUCUAAGCCAGUCCACUUUAGUCCCUGAAGCUAGUCCAGUCUGAGACAGUCCGCUGCAACAAACGCACCCUAAGUAUGCCCUUGAUCUUUCCAAGUUUUUAUUUUGUUAAUUUUCCUGUCUUUUGAUUCUCCUUCGAUUGGUUAACUACGCCGCAUCAAGAUUGAUUGGUUGAUCAAUUCCAUUCGUUAAAUGGUGCGGCUUGGUUCAAAUCGAACCAAAUCGAAAAUUAGUUUCGCCCUCAAACUAAGACUAAUUGAUGGUUAAUCGUUUUUUAUGCCAAAAAUUCUUCAUCGACCGUAUAUCUGAAAAGAGAGAAUUUAAAUAUUCUAAUUUUAUUUUAACUAAUAUCGAGUGAUUUUGUAAUAAAAUCUCAUAAUUGUUGGACUGAUUAAUUUGACAUAGUAUUAGAGCCAGGGACUAGGCCAAUACUCCCACGUGAUGGGUGGGUUCUCUUGCCCCUGGUGGGUCCCUUGACUCUACGUGUAGGGUGAGUCCUCUUGGCUAUACGUGGUUGUCAAUGUGUAAAUCUUCUAUGUGUGACCCACUAAUUGAGUCAUGUGAAAGGGCGUGUUGAAAUAUCAUUUAUCGAUUGUAUCAAAUUUUUUAUUUAUUAAUACAUUGAUAUUUUUACACUAAUGGGAGGCAGAGUUCGACUAAAACACACAAUGAGCAGCCUAAUUUAGUAUCAAAUUCUUCAUUUAUGUGUUGGGUGAGAAAUCCGAUGGUCCACAAAUAAUCACAGCAGGCAACGGUCCCACUCUUCGAGUCGAAGACUUUCUAUGCUCUUUUAUCAUGGAGGAGGAUUCUCUCUCAUCUUAAUCUCUUCCCCCUUCCCUCUCAUCCUAUUUGAACGGUUAUGGUUAAGCCAUAUCAAUAUUGAUUGUUUUUAUUGAGAUAAUAAAACAAAAAUAAUAUGUAAGAGGAGGGGAGGAAUGAGAAUAGGAGGAGAUAAUCUACUCCUCUCAUCAUCAUUUGUUCGUGACCACGCCCUGUUGACUUUUGUAUUUUAGGUAGGAUCCCUAAUUGAUAUGUAAUCCCAUGUAAUCACUUGUAAUUAGUUUUCUUUCCUUUUAUGUUAGGGUUGUACACCUAUAAGUUCUUCACAUAGAGAAGAAUAUAUCAUCAUUCAAAGCAUUCUCUUCUUGGCAUCAGAGCCAGGUCGAAAAAAGGAAAAAAAAAACCCCAUAGCUGCGAUAGCACUGUUGCGGCUCAGCCGUAUGUGAUGCGCCGACCUCGAUCAGCGAGCGACGCCGUCGUUGCUGACCCAAAUUCAUCGAAUCGUUUCACUUUCUGAUUUGAUCUGAAGUCGUGAAAGAUUGCACAGAUUGCAACCCAACGGACUUGUGUUGCUGCGCCGUACCCGAUUCAAGGUCCGACUGACCCAGGAUUGCAUGCCCGCUGCUCAUUACAUUCUUGUUGCACUGCUGCACAGACUACCAUCGCACAACCGCUGUUUCUGACUCGCAGACCCGCUACACCAUAAACCAGACCUCGAUUGAACCCGCUUGCAUCCGCAUAUGCACCCAGAUUUGUAGCUGUUGUUGCCCUACGUUGCUGCAGUCCAACUCGUUUGCAUCUGGACCUUGUUCCUGCACUAGCACAGUUGCACCUUGUUUCUGCACUCGUGUUUUGUAGGUUCUUUCUGGAGCAGACCACGUAGAAAGGAGGGAGAGAAUAAAGGAAAAAAGAACAAAUAGAAAAGGGAAAAAGGAAAAGGGGAAUCAGAAUUGGUGGUGUUGAAAAAAGAAAAAUUGGGCUAUUUGAUUAAGGCCCACAGAGCAAAGAAAAAAUUGUGGUUUUUUUUUAGAUUAUUAUUAUUUGUACUUGUUGUUGGGCUAUCCUUCUUGUUGGCCCGUGCAAAUUGACACUUCUUGGGCUUGGUUUGCUUGGAAAUUUGGGCUUUAUCAAUCACCGAGUGACGUAUUGAUUGAAGUUGCUUGGGAAUGACAAUCUGGACUUGUGAUUCUGCUAAUACAGGUAGCAAUGGUAAGGCUUUAAAGGUUUCUACCUCUGUUACGAAUAAUACAUGGAUAAUUGAUUCUGGUGCUACUGAACAUAUGACUUGUGAUUCUAGACAGGUAGAAACCCUAAAACCAUCCACCAAAACUGUCGUCAAUGUCGCCAAUGGUAAUCCUGCCCCUGUUAUCAGGGAAGGAACCGUCUCCCUUUCAUAUACUCUUAGUCUUGAUACCGUACUUGUUGUGCCUUCUCUUGAUUAUAAUUUAUUAUCUGUUGCUCAAAUAACUGUCGUCCCGCAUUGUCUUGUGAUUUUUUGGCCUUCUUUUUGUGUUUUUAAGGACAUUCGGACUCGCAAGACAAUUGGUUAUGGUAUUAAGAAAGGGAAGCUCUACUACUUGGAGCUGACAUCAAACAGUUCUCGAAUGUUGACUCAAGCUCUUGCAGUGGACGGAAAUCCGGGGGAUAGGAAUAAAGCUUUGAAGGUUUGGUUGCGGCAUCGUCGACUUGGACAUGCUUCUUUUGGCUAUCUACGGAGGUUGUUUCCUAGCCUAUUGUUAAGCAUGAUGUUUUUAGCUUUAAAUGUGGUGUUUGUGAACUAGCUAAAAGUCAUCGUGCUUCGUUUCCAUCCAGUUUGAAUAAAAGUUCUGUUCCAUUUAUGAUACUUCAUUCUGAUGUUUGGGGUCUAUCUAAAACUGCUACAUUUGGUGGUGCUCAUUGGUUCGUUACUUUUAUUGAUGACUGCACACGUAUGACUUGGGUUUGUUUGAUGAAAUCCAAAGGUGAAGUUACUUCUUUGUUUCAACAGUUUUACAAAAUGGUACAAGUACAAUAUAAGUCACAAAUACAGGUUCUCAGGAGUGAUAAUGAUGGCGAAUAUGUUAACUAUGAACUUCGUGCCUUUCUUGAUCAUCAUGGGAUUGUUCAUCAAACUACAUGUCCAUAUACUCCACAACAAAAUGGGGUUGCCGAACUCAAGAACCGUCAGCUUCUGGAGGUUGUUAGUGCCUCUUUACUCGAGGCUCGUCUCCCGUUAUCCUAUUGGGGAGAAGCUCUCACCUCAGCUGUGUAUCUUAUUAAUCGUGUUCCAUCCUGAUCGGUUGAUUUUCAGACACCCCUUCAGGCACUUUCUUCACAUGUUUAUGCUCAUGCAGUCCCUAAUCUUCCACCUCAUGUGUUUGUUUGUGUGACCUUCAUUCAUCUUCAUAAACAAUAGCGAAGUAAGCUUGAACCUCGAGCCUUACGAUAUGUGCUUGUGGGGUAUGCAUCCAGGCAGAAAGGAUACCGUUGUUAUCACCCACCGACGAAUAAGUUGUUUGUCAUUAUGGAUGUUGCGUUUUAUGAGAAUGAUAUGUACUUUGCCAAUCUCGAGUCUUCACUUCAGGGGGAGAAUCAGAAAGAAGUUCAAACUCUUGAUUAUACAAUUCCAGAUAUAGAUAGAGUGAAUGAUUUGGAUUUAAGUGGUGAUGUCUUGGAAAUAAGUGGUGAUCAUUCACACGAAAAUAAUGAUGUGAAUGAAUUGGAAUUAAGUGGUAAUGUCUUGGAGACAAGUGGUGAUCAUUCACAUGGAAACAAUGUUGAAAAUCUUGAAAUGGACGAGUCAACAUCGCCAGAUAACUCACUGCCUGAUAGCUCACUGCCAGUUUCCUCACCACCGAACAGCCUUGUGUCGCCAGCUACCUCAUAGUCGAUCUUGAGUCCCAAUAACCAUAAUCAAUCAUCUUCGAUCCCGGAUGCACCACCACCACGUCGUCUCCUUGAUUGCGUCAACCGAGGUAUUCCUAAACUUACUUAUGAAGCCGACCCUAAAUGCAAAACUAGGUAUUCGGUGAGUAAGCCCAACCCUGAGUCUAAUCUGUUAUACCCCGUUAAGUAAUUAUGUGUCUACCAAUCACCUGUCAGAAUCAAAUAAGUCAUUUGUGCAUCAAUUAUCUAUUGUAUCUAUUCCUAACAGUGUGCAGGAGGCUUUAACUGAUCCACGUUGGCAAGUAGCAAUGAAUGAAGAGUUGAAGUCUUUGAAGAAUAAUGCUACCUGGGAGAUCACAGAUUUGCCAGUUGGCAAGAAACCUGUGGGAUGCAAAUGGGUCUAUACUGUGAAAUACAAAGCAGAUGAGACGGUAUCGUUUCAAGGCAAGACUGGUAGCAAAAGGAUACACUUAAAAAUAUGGAAUCGACUACACAGAUACAUUUGCACCUGUAGCCAAGAUCAACACAGUUCGUGUUUUGUUGUCCUUAGCUGCAAAUCUUAAUUGGCCCUUCCAACAGUUCGAUGUGAAGAACGCCUUCUUGCAUGGAGACUUGACAGAAGAGAUUUAUAUGGAUAUUCCACUGGGAUGUAAUGCUCCAGAUAAAUACAAAAGAAAAGUGUGCAGGUUGAAGAAAUCCUUGUAUGGCUUGAAACAGUCCCCUCGAGCAUGUUCGGAAGAUUCACAAAAUCUAUGAGAGCAUUUGGUUAUAGACAAAGUAACUCUGAUCAUACUUUGUUCCUGAAAAGAUAGAAUGUGAAGAUUACUGCACUUAUUGUGUAUGUAGACGAUAUGGUGGUAACAUGUAAUGAUCCGGAAGAACGUGCGGCCUUGCAAAGAUACCUGUCUACAGAAUUUGAAAUGAAGGACCUUGGAUCCCUGAAAUAUUUUUUAGGGAUUGAGGUGUCGAGAAACAGUUCUGGAAUUUUCUUGUCUCAGAGGAAGUAUAUUAUUGAUUUGUUGCACGAAACUGGCAUGUCAGCUUGUCAGCCAGUAGCUACACCAUUAGAAGAAGGAUUGAAGCUUAGUGUUGAUCCUAAUCCAAUACCAGUUGACAAAGAUACCAAAGGUUAGUAGGCCGUUUGAUGUAUUUAGCACACACAAGACCGGACCUUGCUUAUACCUUGAGUGUAGUGAGUCAAUACAUGCAUGAUCCCGGAGAACAACAUAUGAAUGUCGUGAUGAGAAUAUUGCGAUAUUUGAAGGGAAGUCUGGGCAAAGAAAUUUUGUUUAAGAAGAAUAAUCACUUUAGUGUUGAAUAUUAUACUGAUGCAGACUGGGCAGGUUCCAUUGAUGAUAGACGCUCAACAUCAGGUUACUUUACGUUUGUUGGGGGUAACUUGGUUACAUGGAGAAGUAAGAAACAGAAUGUGGUUGCCUGUUCCAGUGCAGAAGCAGAAUACAGAGGUAUGGCUUUGGGGAUUUGUGAAAUUUUGUGGCUUAAGCUUCUAUUAAGUGAUUUGGGUAUACAACAUGAUCAUCCCAUGAAAUUAUUUUGUGAUAAUAAAGUUGCUCGUGACAUUGCACAUAAUUCGGUACAACAUGAUAGAACAAAGCAUGUUGAAGUUGAUCGGUUCUUCAUCAAAGAAAAAUUGGAAGGGAAAAUAAUUGAAGUACCGGCGAUAAGAACAAAAGAUCAGUUGGCAGAUAUCCUUACAAAAGCUGUUUCGACUCCCAAGUUUUCAAGUUUAUUACACAAGUUGGGCAUGAGCAACAUAUAUGCACCAACUUGAGGGGGAGUGUUGACUUUUGUAUUUUAGGUAGGAUCCCUAAUUGAUAUGUAAUCCCAUGUAAUCACUUGUAAUUAGUUUUCUUUCAUUUUAUAUUAGGGUUGUACACCUAUUAGUUCCUCAUAUAGAGAAGAAUAUAUCAUCAUUCAAAGCAUUCUCUUCUCGCCCCUACACCUUAACGACCUCUCAUAGACCUGGCAUACGUGUCGUGUUUUUCGUGUUCGUGUCGUUUUCGUGUCAUACCCGAUAUCUUAACGGGUCGUGUCGUGUAACACCCGUUAAAAUAAAUGGGUAAAAUGACCCGACCCAAAAUCGACCCGAUAAUAUUAACAGGUAAUAUGACCCGACCCGUUACCCGUUAAAGAAAAUAUAUUUUAAACCAAUAAAUGAUCAAAUGAAAAUCAUAAUACUAAAUAAGUAUAUACAUACCAUAUUAUCACAUCCAAAACAUAAAAACACAUUUUUCUUUUAAGUAUAUUUUCACUUACCUAAAGUCUUUAAUAGUUUUUUAAUUAAUGUAGAAGUGUAAAAAAAUAUAGAAAAUAUGUACAAACGCUCGUAAUGACAAACUUUACAACUUUCAUGAAGAGCUUAACUUCGAAAUUCGUCACUAUAAUCAUAUAAAUCAUAGAUAAAAAAUUAACCGUUGAUUGUUGUUUACAUUUACGUUUCAUUGUUCUUAUCAAAUUUUGUUUUUUUUCAGAUUUUGUUUUUUGAAAACUUGAGCUAUUAAAGGAUGCAAGAAGAUGAACGGUUUGGAUCGUUGAUAUUAUAUUCAGAGUUUUACGGUUAGUGAAAAUAUUGCUUGAUGUUUAUAAAAUUUUUACAAACUAUAUGACAUCGACUCAUAUUUCAGUUAACCGUAAAUAUCAAAACUUGAUAUCAAAGAUCUGAACCUUUCAUCUCCUUACAUCCGCUAGAUAAUCAUGUUUUCAAAAAAGAAAAUUUUAAAAUGAAAUUCAGGAAGAAGAAUAAAGCGUAAAUGACAAUCGACGGUUAAAUAUAAAUUUACGGUUUAUGAAUUAUAGUGUUGGAUUUUGAAGUUGACCUCUCCAUGAAAGUUGUAAGGUGUGUCACUGUGAGUGAUUGUUUAUUUAUUUUUUUUUUUUUACACUUCUACAAUAAUUAUUAUUAAUUUUAUUAAUUUUGCCCUUAAAUAAAAAACAUUAUUCAUGAAGGUUUGGAGGAUUUUAAAAAUAUAAACAAUAAUGUAAGUGUAACCAUUAUCUACUCGUAGAUGAAUAAUGAUGAAUUACGAGUGUUUAUAUAUUCUUUCACAUUUUUCAUACUUGUAUGUAUAUCUUCUUAAUCUUUACCUAUACAAAUACUAUAUUUGUUUAUUUUAAUUUUGGACAAUAACAUGUUAAGUAAAAUUUAUCCUAGUAAUGAUAAUAAGGAACUCUCAUAAUAAAAAUAAAUAAUGACUAAAACUUUUUUUUUUUUAAACUUAUAUAGAAUAAAACUAUAUAUUUAAUAUAGAAUAUAUUGUAUAUAUUAAUAUGGCUAUUGUAUUUUAUAAUAAAUCUUUUAGUAAUUAAACUUUAAAAUUAUCAAAAUAAUUUUUUUCUUAACGGGUCGAAAUGGGUUACCCAUGUGUGACUUGUGUGUAUACCCGUUAAGAAUCCGUUAUUAACGGGUUCUUAACGAGUCACCCGAUAAUGACCCGAUAAAUUAUCGUAUUGACCCGAAACUCGUUAUUUUCGUGUCGUUUUGAUGUCGUGUCAUCUUAUCAGAAAAUGCCGGGUGCAUCCUUCCACACAAAACCCAUUCAUGGCGGCGAUCGUUCCACUCUCGGGCUCAGUUGAAACUCGCACGUCCUUUCUCCUCUCCUCCAAUUCGUAGAGAUCGAAGCUCGAUUCGCCAGGUAAGUCACUGUAGCUCUGGUUAUCCUUCAACGGUGAAAUUUGUAAUCCUUUGCCUACAAAUGUUGAAUGGGAACUCAAAGUUCGAAUCUUUUGUUUGAAUAUUGUUUGGGUUUUGAUGAAUUUGAAUUGGGUUUUACUGGGUUUGGUUUAAUUUUCUAAUUGAUUUGAGCUGUGUUUUUACUGUGUGUGAACUGUGAACUGUGAGUAAGAUGGUUCAGGUUUGAAGUUUAGGGACUUUUAAGGUCUGAGCGCUGAAUUAUACACUUUUACUGUGCAGGUUUAACCAUGAUCAGAACUAAAUUACGUUGAUAAUUUGUUAUAAAGGUCCAUUGAGUAGUGGGUAUUGGGUUAAAUUUAGAAAAAAAAUGAGUUACAGAGCGAGGUUUGGUAAAGAUAAUAGCGCCUGUGAUAGCGGAAAUUCUGCUGAAGGUUCCGGUUCAAGUAAAGGACCUGAUGAAGUAUCCAAUGAUUUUGAUCAUGAAAUUGCUCAACUCACUAAGCAUAGAUCAAGACCCCACCGACUUUUGAGCGGGGAUAUGGCUGGGAAGUCGAGGUUACCGGUUUCAACGAUGAAAAUGCUGGCCGGCCGUGAAAGUAAUUAUUCAGGGCGGGGAAGAUUCUCGUUGGCAGAUUGUUGCCAUGUUUUGAGCCGGUAUCUGCCCAUAAAUGGUCCUUGGGGGGUGGACCAGUCCAGAAGUCCUGCUUAUGUUUCUCAAUUUUCGAAUGAUGGUUUGGCUUUUGUUGCUGGAUUUCAGGUAUUGUAAUUUAUUAGCUUGAUGUUAUAAUUCAUUUUUCUUGUUGUGAUUUUGAAUUGUUCUACUUAAAAAUCAAUUUCCCAGUACUCAUGCACACAACUGCAGUUUUGCAAUCUUAAUUUUCUUCUUUUUUUAAUGAAACAGGGAGGCCAUAUUAGAAUAUAUAAUGUUGAAAAGGGAUGGAAGGUUCAGAAGGAUAUCCUGACCAAAACCUUGAGAUGGACUAUUACCGAUACAUCUCUAUCACCGGACCAACGUUAUCUUGUGAGUUUAUGAUGUUUGGUUUGUUGAAUAAGAAGGAGCUUGUCUAUAUAACUACGACUUUACAAUCUGAACUUAUUCUUCCUUUAUGAUAUAUGCAUAAGUGUAAAUACUGCAUGGUCCUUUCUGAACCCAUGUUUGUUUUAAUGCCUGUUUUUGCCGAUGGAGCAUCAUGUAUAAUUGUCAUCUUUUGUAGUGAUUUAACUUUUUUCUGAGUCUCUUAACUUAAUUAGUCACACUUCUAAGUUGAUAAAAUUACAGGUUUAUGCUAGCAUGACACCGGUUGUCAAUAUUGUGAAUGUGGGAUCUUCGACGACGGUGUCAGUUGCAAAUGUUAUGGUAUGUGAAACUAGUGGUCCUUAUGGUGCUACCAGCUUUGAGUUUCAUAUGAAUCGCUUACUAGUUUAAUUGGUUCAUCUACAGAUUUGGUAAUCAAUAAUGUCCCUGGGGAUUCUUUUUUAACUAACCGAUGAUUUUUUUCAGCAUAAUCUUGUAUGAAUCUUUGUUGUCAUCUUGUAAAGUAGGUUACCAAAUCAACAAUGUUCCUGGGGAAUCUUUUUUAUCUAACCGAUAAUGUUUUACAGCAUAAUCUUGUAUGAAUCUUUGUUAUCAUCUUGUAAAGUAGAUAUCUUUAUCAAUGUUACCAGAUCACAAGAUCUGUAAGAUGUUUAUCUGAAAUUGGCUAGGGGUACUUGUCUUGGAUGAUCUGUUAAAGGUGAUGGUAUCUGAAUUGUAGUAUAUGCUACCAUCUGUUGAAUCUCGAAGUGGAGAUCUUCUGGUAAAGGAAAAGAAAGUAAUCCAAUUUGACGAUGUUUACAUUUCCAAAUUAUUGUUUUUCUUGGAUAAUCUAUUAUGGCAUAUUGAUGACUUCAGAUGUUACAGCUCACCCUAUAAUGCUCAUUAUAACAUGAAUUUGUACUUUUUGGAGGGUACAAUUUUUUUAAUCAAUUGAUUAUUCACGUUUAAUAGUCGGUUUCUUUGCUAUGAUGAUUGUGUGCUACAAAGAGUCACUUUCUAGUUCUUACUAGUCUUUUUUUAGCAUAAAAAACUUUCUUUUAAUUCAGGAAGUUCAUGAAGGUCUGGAUUUUUCUAUUGAAGGCGAUGAGGAUGAAUUUGGAAUUUUCUCAGUUAAAUUUUCAACUGAUGGGCGAGAGCUUGUUGCUGCAAGUAGUGAUGCUUCAAUAUAUGUUUAUGAUCUCCAAGCAAAUAAAGUUAGCCUCCGAAUACCAGCUCACCAGGCAAAUGAUCUAACAAUAUAAUAUACUCGAAUUACUUCUUGAUGGUGGUUUUGAAGAAAUUUUUCAUUUACUUUUAAUUUUAAAGACACAGUCUCUCCCAUACUAGUUCCUUCCCUGGAGACUCUGGAUGGCACUUAAAAGCAUCAUUUGAUUAUUUUGUUCAUUGUUUGUUGCAGUCUGAUGUAAACACUGUGUGCUUUGCUGAUGAGACCGGCCAUCUCAUAUAUUCUGGCAGUGACGACAACCUCUGUAAGGUAGGGUUCAUCUCUGGUCUUUAUAUGGUAUAAGAUGUAGAAACCAUGAUUGCUUCAUUGUAUGGCACUCUUUUUUUUCAUUUUUUUUGAACUCUGGCUUUCCUUAUUGUAGUCGUUGAACUGUCACUCUUAAAUGCUGUUACGUUUUCACAACAUGUUCUUUGCUAGAGUUGCUCAAAUCUUGAGAUUCAAUAUUCCAGCCUCAAAUCCUAAAUUUGGUGCAUAAGUGUUGUUUAACUAAUGGGAUGCUUUUCCUUUUUAUGUUGUCAUUAUCUCUCUCAUGGGUGUGGGGUUAAGUGCUUAAUAUGUUCUUUACUAUUGAGCUAUGAAGUCCCCAUGAAGUUUAGGCGUUUCUAUUUUCUUGCACAGGUGUGGGACAGACGCUGCUUAAUGACGUACGGACAAGCAUCUGGGGUCCUGAUGGGACAUCUUGAAGGUGUUACAUUUAUUGAUAGCCGGGGAGAUGGGCGUUACUUAAUAUCAAACGGGAAGGACCAGACAACCAAACUCUGGGAUAUAAGAAAGAUGUCCUCUAGAGCCAUGUAGUACGUCUGUAUUACUUGUUUCCCUUUUCUGCUCAUUUUAACUUAUUGGCUUUCUGUUUGGUGCUGUAGAAAUAUGAAAUUUACUGCUGUCAGCAUGAGAUAAGUCAACUUAAUUUUAGUAUAUUGUCCUCCAAUUAUUUUGACUCUAUAAUAUUCUAAAGUGUGGAAAAUAGUUUUGUUGUAUUUGGGCUAAGAAUAAUGUGGUUAAAUUGAUGUUUAAUGCUUCAAGUUUAUAUGGUCUAAAAGACCGGGGAACAUAUAGUAGCGGAACGGAGGGCUAUUUGUGAAUAGUACUAUAAUUGAUUUUGGAAUAUUUCUUGUUUUUAGUGAACCAUUUAUCAUAUUGUUUUGUCAUAUUAAAGCAGCUUUGUGAGAUCAAGCGAGUACAACAGCUUCUAUUAUUAGAGGGUCUUAAGUUAAUUUGAACCUGUCUGCUUGUGCUUGUCUCUGCACGGAAUCACAUUCUUGUUGAAUAACUUUUGUUAUUUAGAUACUGUGGCUCAUGGCCUACAGUCCAGAGUCUAGACCCUUUCUUGGUUAAAUGUAAUAUUUUUGUGGUCUCUGAUUUUCAACUUUCCAACCAGCAGCCCAAGGCUUACAGAUCGUGACUGGGAUUACAGAUGGAUGGAGUACCCAGCUCAUGCAAGAACUCUGAAACAUCCAAAUGAUCAGUCAUUGGCUACAUAUAGAGGCCAUGCAGUCCUGCGCACUUUAAUUCGCUGUUACUUUUCUCCAGCAUAUAGGUAAUUUUUAUUUCUUUAUUCUAAUCCUGUAUGUGGAAUUUGUCGUAAUAACUUUGUGCGAAUUCAAAGAUGCUGGAGUACAUGUAUUUUCCACAAUCUUAUUGGCUAUUGUUUUGGAUCUAAGGCUUCUGGUUUCAUCUGAUGAUAUCAUAUAAUCAGUUGGCUGUGUUGACACACGGUUGUUUAGGAGUAUCAGAUGAUGUUUCUAACUUUCUAUUCUGCUCAUUGCAGUACUGGACAAAAGUACAUCUACACUGGCUCAAGUGAUCAUUCCGUCUAUAUAUAUGAUCUGGUAAGUAACUGGCCUUUAAUGUUUCUCAUCACCAAGAUCAUGUUCUUCUCGUGUCAUUCUGUUAAGGAAAAUGUAAAGGGAAUUCACCUGCCAUCUGUUUUCAUGUUCAUUUCUAGGUAUAAAAUUUCAUGUGCAUUUCUACGAACCGUAAAAAGGAUGUUGAUACAUAAUUGGUUCGUUUUCAGACUAGUUAGGAAAAAAAAAGAUGAUUUGAAAAGUAAAUGAUGGUACGAGAGUUCCUUGUAGGAGAGCAAGAAUCAUGGUUGGCAGUCCUUCAUGAAAUUAACACUCCUGUUACUUUAGCCUGUAGGCUUGUUAUUACUACAAAGGCCAGUAAAACAGGCCAUCCUGCUCGCUUCAAACUGCUAUAUCUUGAGAACGUGAUAUUCGAUCUCUAGUAAUUUGUUUGUUUCUAUAAAGGUAACCGGAGCUCAAGUUGCGAAACUAGAUCAUCAUGAAGGACCUGUGAGAGACUGUAGUUGGCAUCCUCUGUAUCCCAUUUUGGUCAGCUCGUCUUGGGACGGGACCGUCGCCCGAUGGGAAUUUCCUGGUGAUGACCAAGUUCCCACCCUCGUGAGGCCGAAAAUACGCCGGAGGAGAGGCUUCUAUUGAAGAAGGCUCGUUGUUUUGCGCUUCACAAGAUGAUUUGGUAUUAAAUUCGUUCAUGAUUUUCAUACGUUCUGUGAAGUUAUACUGCAUUUUUUUAAAGAACUUUUGCAGUAAUUACAGAGAAAUUAUAAACUUUAUAUUGGUUCCUGGCAGCUUUGUAAUAGCUGUCCACAUGUAAAAUAUGUAAUUUUAUGUAUUUAUAAUCGAAUUAUUGUUUAAAGUUUCACUCUUUCAAAUAAUGUAUUUCAAACAUUCAUUCCAAUUGUUGGUUUUUAUAAUCGAUGAGGCAUGUUGUAAUUCAUUAACAUAUCUGAAAAUGUAAUCUUUUUGCAGUAAACAACUUAACAACAUACACGUUCCCCUCCCAACUUUUGCAAAGCAGAAAGCCUUAUUGGCUUGAGGUCGUUCCCUUUUUAUCUUGUAAGAGCUUUGCAUGAAUGAGGAUCCUCUUCGGAUUCUCUUUGUGUGGAUCCUGAAAAUCCUCAAAUCGUGUCCGUUUAUCGUACAUCGUGCGGCUAGUUUUUGUUAAGUACUAUUCAUAUUUAAUUUUAAAUAAAAAUAUUUAAAAUGACUUCUGGUCGCACGAUGUACGAUGAAUGGAUACGAUUUGAGGAUCUUCGAGAUUCUCACAAAAAGGAUCCGGAGAGAAUCCUCAUUCCAUCUGCAUGGAGAGAUACAAUUUAUGAUGUAAAAACCACUACUACAUCCUGUCUAUCUUUUAAGGUAAUGAAAAUGAUGUUUUUGAGAGCAGUCCAAGUGUGGAAUAACGUAACUUAGUAUUUUUUUCUUUCUUAAAAAAGAGAUCAGCUGGUGGUUUCGUGACUGCAUUUCACUGUUUUGGAGGCCAAAGAAACUCAUAAAGACAUUUUAACCUCCUGACCAUUAUCGUGUGAUUCACAUGCAAGAAAAAUUAAACUUAAUCUGAAAUACGAAUUUAAAAUUCGCCCCCAACCAUUGAGAGCUGAUCGUGAUCAACGUAACCAUUGAGCGACUCGGAACCUCCCACCUCCUUACGCACACACCACCAAACAACAAAAUCUAUUUUCCUCGCCAACGCCAACUGACAUAGCCAAAGCACCCAAGCAAUCGAGAACACGAAAAGCAGACGAAAAUGGCGUCGCCCGCCGCAAGGAUCACCUUCCGCAUAGUAUUCGUGGCUCUGGUCGUUCUCGUCCUCUUCUACGUUGGCCGCCCUCUCUACUGGAAAAUCUCCGCCACCAUCCACGAGAUCCGCCAAAACAAACAGACCGUUAAGCAAGGUAGCAUUCCUCUCACUUCCCAAUUUUUUAAUUUUUUUGUUUCUGGGUGCGAAUUUUUUCUGAAAUUUGUGAUUUUGGGGCCGAAUUCUGUUCAGGUAUAUCGCAGAUUGUUCUGGAAGCUCAGAAAUCGGUCGGUUGGUACCACGACGAGUCGGAUUCGGGUGCCCGCUACGAUAGGGCCGCGAAGAAUGUCGGGUUGGCCACGACCCGGAGGCUGCUGCUCCGCCAGGUUUCGUGAAAUCCCUUGAUUUUUCCAAAAUUUACUGCUUUGUAAGACUGAGGUUUCAGUGGGUCUGUUCAAAUCUGGUCACAUUUCGAAUGAAUCGGUUAAAUUAUGUUGAAUUAAUGUGUUUAGGGAGUGAAAUACUUCUUCCUGACACUACUAAAUGUUAGAAAAGUUUGCACAACUGCAAUGCUGGAUAUGUAUCGGUUUCGGAAUAUAUAUAGAAUUUUACUGAGUAUGAUUAUAUAUAUAGUAUUUUGGGUUUUUUUGGUGCAUUGGAUUAGUGAUUGCCUCUUAUUUUGAAUUUUGUUACACUUUUAAUUUAACUUAAACCCAAAAAGGCGAUGAAUUGGAUUAUUCGGACGCUCUGGCUUGAUUGCUUGUACAUAGCAUUCAUCAAUGAUUCCUCUGCAAGAACAAUUUCCUCCAUUCUGCAAAUUGUUAUGUUACUUUCAGCUGAUUUUGUGUUGUAUUUGUUGAGGAUACGCGUGUCGUCUUAGUCUUCAAUGCUCAAGAACUAAUGGUAAUUUGGUUAUGAUCCAACAGAUGAUAAUUCAUUUGGAUUUGGAUAAUUAGUUGUUUGAUUUUGGUUCAAUAGUGAAUGAGCUUGAAUUUCGUGUUCGUUGAUGUUAGGAUUCUAAGAACAUUUAGGUUUCCCUGAUUGUUUUGGGGAUGUGUGGCCCGACUUCCUAAAUCAAGUGAGUUUGUGGACCUCAAGGACCUCAACAAACAUUAUGUAGGGGUACAUAUAACUAUACAUAUCCUCAAAGUUUAGUGAGAAGGUCUAAGAUGUUCGAGUGUUCUUGUUUAGGCUACUACAAGUCUUGGACCAUAUUUACUUGUUUAGUGAUGUAAAGCAUCAGUAAAUGUUGAGUAUACCUCAAAACUUCCUUGGUUUGGAUGAGGCACCUUUUGUGAAUGAUUUCAUUAAUGGUUUGUUUGCUAAACUGCGCUUAGAAGCUUCACUUCUUUCUGCAGUAGGUGUCCUGGUGUUCAAUCUCUUAUAGGGGUCGCAUGUGUAAAACAGAGAGGGUAAGUGAGAAUCUUGUACCUACACUGAUAUUCGAUGUUAGAACUUGGACGGUAUAUUUUUGCAAGAUUUUCUGUGCAUAGAUUGGUUAAGAAACUGAGUAAGCCAGUAAGAACUUCCUGUUGUAGGUUUAUUUUCUUUAGCUAGCUGUUCUAACUUUUUGGGCCACUAGAUUAUGUUGUAUUACAAUUUCUGUAGGUUGCGGCCCAACCGAAGUUCUAGUUCUUCCAACUUCCUUUCAAAUUCAACAAUCAAACUGGCUCCCUAAGAAUGGAAUGGAUGACUUAAUUUUGUUCCUCUUUUGGGGCACGGUGUGAGUAGUCUUAGAACUUCGCUAAGGUCAGUCGCCCAAGCGCGCUAUGAUCAUCGAUCAAAUUUGGGUUCCACAGUAAUCUGCAGUCAGGAGUUGUGGCAUGUGACCGUCAGCAUGAUAUAGCAUGGCAUGAAGCAGGAGCCACGAGAUGAUCAAAGACUAAUAAAAACGGGCCAUAAGAGAGAUUUGGAGUAAUGGGACUUUGAAUAUCCUUAGUACAUCAACUGGAAGUGCUUCUUGAAGAAGCAUUUGGUAUGUACUUUUCCAUAAAGCCUUUCUAUGAUCCCGAAGCACUUUUUUGUUUUCUGUCAAAUGCAGGCGAGAGUGCUUUUGGUUGUCAUAAAGCACUUUUAGCAUUUCCGUAUGCAAUUCCUACAUGAUACUCGAAGAAUGUUAUAUUUUAUCUGGAGGCAUCUUCGCUCCGCGAACCUGGCUGCUAUUGAAGCAUAAUCAUCUUCUACUUCAAUCACCAGCAACACAACCCUUUUAAGUUCUAAUCCAUUAAAAUGAUCUUCUCUUUCGUUAUUAUUCAAAAUCAACCUAUUAUACAUCCUGUAGUGGAAAUUAAGACAUCAGUGUGAGGUUCACUCUUGCAACCUAGACGAUCUUCUUAAGUGAAAUUGAUUCAUCUUCCAUGGAUUAAACUUUUAGUUUUUAGAUUCAGGUUGUAAACUACGUGCGUGUGCUUGAGCGAAUGUUCUUAACCAAAUUUAUGUUCACAAUUAUAUUCACAAAUUAUUAAACAUCAAGGAGGUAAAGAAUAUAUAUCCAAAAUUGUUUUUUUUUUUGUGUGAGUAACAUGAUACUGACAUGUAUCUUUUGGAACUUGCACCUUAUAUAAAUUAUACAAGCCCAUGUUAACACAAUAUAUACUUUGUAAAGGUGGUUGACAAUUCUGCGCAGAUCUUAUGCAUCUUCAAAACGUCCAAGUUUUCCGAUUCACAUUCAUACACACAUGCAUGCACCAUACUUGUUCUGCUAGAAUUUUCAAACCUGAUUCUUGACAUAAAACGGGGUAAUGAGUAGGAAUGAUCAAUUUUUAGUAACGACAACAUUGUUGACUCAAUGACGACAUAACAACUACGAAACGAUGAUACAACGACAACAUAACAAACACUAAUUAUUUCCUGCUAAUUGUCCUAAAAAAGUUGAAAACAGAAGUAUAUAAAAAAUGAAUGGAGAUGGAGAAACCCACAACCCAUGUAUUGACUUUGAGUUUUCUUAAUUUUGUUUAAAUUUCCAACUAUCUAGGGUUUAGGUGUAUACAUUAUCUUAGCACGCAGUUUUAGCUACAAAACAUGAGCUUUUGGCUCAAAUGAUCUCAUUUAGAACCUGACUGCUGAAUUGAUCAAAAUUAUACAUGAGCAACACAUCAAUAGAAAUUUGACAAUAUAACGAUCAGAAACUGAUAACAUACUAAAAAUUGAUCAUUUCAGUAAUUAGAAUUUAAAAAAGAGCUUUAGACUAAAUGAUCCACUUUUAACGUUUGAUUAUUAAGCAAUGAUCUGUUUUUAGCAUGUUGUUGGUAUAUAAUCCAUCUAUCGUCGAUACUUGAUUCAACCAUUUAAGCAAUCAAACGUAUAAAAUUGAUCAUUUUAGCUAAUUACCUAAAAUGAUCAUUACCAAUUGUGGACAAAAUAUUGCAAAGUGGAUCAUAUUUCCCCGUGCAGAUGGAGCCAUCAUUGUCCCCCAUUUUCUAUGAUAAGCAGUAUUUUAUUUCAUUUUCAACAUUAAUGAAGUCGAUUAAUUUGCGAUCAUCCGGAAGACUAGACGUGGAUUGGCUAAUUUUAAUAAUGUUUAAUAAUAAUAGGUAUCUAUUAGUAGAAAUUUAAGUGACACCCUUAUGCUUAAGCUUAUGGAGCAUGAGUUAUAUGAACACCAGCAACUGUUGUUGCUUUUAUAUGUGGCCUUGACUUUGUAUUCUCACUUUAAUUAAGCUACCCUUGAAAACUAAUUAGAGUAUAAAUAUAUUCUUAAUUGUAUUGGGAUCCUACAAGUUGACCUCUACAAUUUUCUAAAUGUAAUAAUUUCUAGAUUAAAGUUUGAUAUGUUGGAAGCUAAGAUCUUUAGAGGAUCUUAAUCUUUAUCUUGCAAUGGUAUUCACUAACUUAAUAGUUCAGUUGACUUAUGUUUAAGCCUUAGAGGAAUGUCAUUCGAACCCGCACUAGAGUGAAUAGGUAUUAUUACUUUUCGCAACUGCGAUAAAGUAUUAUUUGCAACAGAUACUGAUUAAUCCCACUUUAACUUGCCUUUCUGAAAGUCUAAAUAGAAUUCAUCAAAGAAAUAUAUCACUUGAUAAUUGAUCCAAUGUUGGAUACAUUUUUCUCAUCCGGUGUAGGAUACAUCAUUCGAUCCAUAAUUUUUAACAAUAUUCACAUGAAAAUAAUUAUGACAUACCCUAUUAUUUAAAACCCUAUGGAUCAAAUGGAUAAUAAUUGGAAGUCUAACUCCAUCAUGGGUCACGUAUUGUCUUUGUUCCCUACAUACAUAUGAUAUAAGAUGACUUUAAAUUUACAAUCAUAACCAUCAUCCAUGAUAUAUAUGUACCACUCACUUGUCUGGAGAAGAGGCUCGACCUAUGGCCACCAUAAAACGAUAUUAUUAUCUCCAACUUAACCAUUAAAAUUGUGUAUGGGGUUUAUGUUUAAAGGUUUUGGCAGAAAUUAAGGGGAUGUCUUGCUUGAUAUAUCAAUGAUGGCAGCUUGAUUCAUGCUUCCUAUACUACCUUUAAAUGUAAUUGGGUGCUCGAGGCGUAUGAUGACAUACAAUCUGUCUAAAAUCGAUCAAAUUGCCAUGCACCCUACCACCCCGCAAUGAAUAUUAAAAUGUAAAAACCUCCUCCAUUGUUAAGGGCCAUCUCUCAAUUGAGAUAGAAUAAUACAUACACACACACACUAAUGCAAAGUAAUAUAAUAUAAUUGAUGCAAAGUAAUACAAUAGAAUAAUGCGAUAUUGAAAUUAUAACUUUUUAUUUAUUCAAAAUGAACUUACAGAAACCUUGACUAAAAGAUUUUAUUGAAGAGUUGCAAGAAAAUAAACCGAAAUAAAUCAUAGUAAUUGUACUAAUUUCUCUGAAAUUGAGAAAAUAAAUCUUGAAAUUAAAAAACGUUAUGUCUAAGGCUUUCGAGCCUUGUAUUUAUAGGCUGGAGCUUGAGUUAUUGAAAGAGUGAUUGUUGGAGCACGCGUGAAUAGAGGCUUGUCCGAAUAAUUAACUUUUACUGUUAAUUUUAGAUGUGUAAUAAUUCUGCAAACGACAUCACUGUAGAUAAAUAGUAACUUGUUAGAACACUAUUUGACAUUUUUUGUCCUAGAUGAAUAGCGACCGAGAAUAAUUGUCUUCAAAAUUCCUUGUCUUCAUUAAGAUCAUAUGGAUCUUUAGAAUCUUGAUAAUAUGCCCAUCUUAACUUCUGAGUAGGAGAACCAACCUUUUGACUGGAAGAUGAGGCUUGCCAAGAAGUUUGUUGUUCUUCUUCGUCUUCUUUGCCCCAUUUAGGAAACUUGGGGGGGUGUUUGUUUGAUCUUCUUAGGUGGGAUUGGACUAGACUACACUAUAGUCUGAUGUUUGGUAUGGACAAGGAUUAGAUCCGACUCGCACGGAUUAAACCCUUCGCUAGGAGUUCCUAGUGAAGCACCCAAAAAACGCCCGGAUUCGUAAGACCUCAUGCGCUCCUACUAGAGAGAUCAUCGCUCAUCCUGCGAGAGAGUGUCGUUGAUGGCCUCCUCCCUCACCUUCUCCUCCUCAUCGCCUCUCAUCGCCCACAAUCUCAUAUAUUUCUUCCUGUCCCUCCCAAUCGUUGAAGAAUCUAGAGCCUCCCUCGUCGUCCAAAUCAGCAAGCUCAUCUUCUCUGGAUCCUCAACGUUAUAUGGUUCUUCCUAUUCGAAUAGCCGAAGCCCUCAAUUCCUGAGACUUGGAGCUCGCUCGAUUUGACCGAAGAGGUGGGUCUUGCGUUUGUUGCACAUGAGCUUGCUCUGAUUCUGAUUUGCCAAUUGAUGUCCAGCUUGGAAGCUUAGGUGCAGGAGAAUCAUAGCAACAUUAAGAAUUUGGAAUCUGGUUUGAGAUCGAGAAGGCAAAGCUGGAGAGGGGAGAAAAAGAGGGAGAGGGAUGGAAAAAAUUAGGAAAAAAAAUAGGAAUUUGAAGUAAGGGACUAGAAGCACCUGCGGGGAUAGCAGGCAAAGAAAGAUUUAAGAUUCAGAAGGAAGAGAAAAAUAAGAGACCAGAAGCCUCUGGAAAGAAAAAGAGAGAAAAAAAGAAGAAGGUAGAGAGCGUGCAGAGAAAGAAUUAAAAAAAAUGACAAAAUAUUUUAUUCAAAAAAUAAUUUAGUCUAUAACUUAGUCCAACACUGCACCAAACGCUUCACUAAGCUAGUCCAGCUUAGUCUGGUCAGUUAGUCCAGUCCGAGACAGUCCGGUGCAACAAACGCACCCUUGGAGUAUUAUCUGUCAGGCUAUUUCUUUGGUUUUUACCUUGAUUUUCCAUUGAUUGUGAUGGAAGAAGUAGAGGCUUCUUGUAACGUCCCACAUCGCCUAGGGGAGUGAUCCUUAAAUGUAUAUUCUCAUCCCUACCUAGCACGAGGCUUUUUGGGAGCUCACUGGCUUCAGGUUCCGUAGGAACUCCGAAGUUAAGCGAGAAGGAGGCCAGAGCACUUCUAGGAUGGGUGACCCACUGGGAAGUUGCUCGUGAGUUCCUAAAAACAAAACCGUGAGAGAAUGGUAAGCCCAAAGCGGACAAUAUCGUGCUACAGUGGUGGAGCUGGCCCGGGAUGUGAUUCGCCCCGGGCCGGGAUGUGACACUUCUGAAGUAGCAAACCUUUAUUGGAGAGGUGUAACUAUAGGGAAUUCAUUGUUAACUUGUUCAAUUAUCCUGUAAUGUUUGAAGUUAUCCCACCAUUUGUAAUGUUUGAAGUUAUCCCACCAUUUGACUGUGAUUCAUUCGGCGGAACACAUCACUUUCUUCCCAAUUGGCAUUAUAGUACAAUUUGGGAAUCUAGGGGACCUUAUAUUUUGCAACAAAAAGUAAAAGAUUGGGAAAAUUUGUUUCCUCUUUCUUGACUUUGUAAAUUGAAAAAAAAAGAAAGUUUAGAAUCGGUUUGGUACUCUACUUGAAUCCAACUUUUUAAACUCAAAAACAAUUUUCAAGUUUUAGACUUUAUAAACUUGUUUGGUAGGACUAUUUUCAAAAAAUGAACUUAAGACUAACAAAAAAAUAUAGUCUAUUAUCUAAAAACAUAAAAAGUGAGUUUUUAGAGUUUUUAAUUUUAAACUCACUCAUUUCUUUUCUCCCUCAUCCCCUCUCACUCCAAAUCUAUCUCUCUCUUUUUUCUUCAUUCUCUCUCCUUUUUUUUUUACCUUUUUCGUCUCUCUUUCAAUCCGUUCUCUUCAUUUUCUCGGUUAUUUCUCUCACUCAUCUUCUUCUCUAUCUCGUCCGAUCCUCUCUCUUUUUUUCUCUUUCCUUCAAUCAUCUCUUACUUUCUUUCCUCCUCUCUCCUCUUUCUCCCUCUCCUACGAUCCCCUCUUUUCAGAUCUCUUUGUCUAGUUUAAGUCGUAACAUUUAAAAUUUUUAAAUUGCAAACCAAUCAAGUUUUUGAGUCUUACAGAAAAUUGUUUUCAAGAAAUGUUUUGAGAAAUGAUAAAAAAUUUCAAAUAGGAUACCAAACAAGCCCUUACUGAUUUUUUGAAACUUUCAGAAAAUAGAUCAAUGGAUGGUCCAUGCCAUGCUUAUCCCACCAAUAUUUGAACAAAGUUGGGAAUUGGCUUUGGAACUUACUGAGUGACUAAAAUCUUCUGUUUGGUGUAGGAAGAUAUUAUGCCAUGCAUCAAUAAAAUCAUAAAUUCAUAAUAACUGCAUCGGAUAUUUGAUUCAAGUGUUUCAAAAGAAAGUGGAUGACCUCCCCAUUGGGAAUGGUAGAGAACUUUAUUGGCAUUGUUUUUGUUUUCGAUGGGUUUAAUGACUAUGGACUCAGUUUCAAAUAGAAUAUCUCUAUAAAACUUAAGUGACUUUUCUGGGCAUGGUGGAAUGAAAUGACAGUUUGGGAGAAAACAAACCUUGGCAGUUUGAGCUAGAUUUCUAAGGUGAAAUGAUCAUAGUUGGAAACAAGAGAUGACUGGUAAUUGUUGGCUAUCCCACAUCAGUGGGGGAAGUCACAAAUAAGGACUUUAAAUAUGAUUACCCCACUCUAACUAAUAUCGAAGUUUUUUGUGAUAAAACUUCACACCUCACGGAUUGGGCAGUAAUUACUAAGUUGGGGACACCUAACAGAUUGGGUAGGUGGUAAUUACUAAGUUAGGGGCACUAUCGGUAUAGUUAGAGUGGCCCCCCUAGGCCUGUCGAUCUAAGAAUUCCAACAUAGUAUCAGAGCCCACGGUUAUGGGUUCGUGCAAACCAAAGGCUCGUCACUAGGAAGUGUGGGCUUGGAAACAAGUUUGGCCUCUUAACAUCAAGGAAGAAAAUAUCGGUAAUAUCGGAAAUAUCGGUAGUCCGAAAACACGGAAAUAUCGAUGGAAAUAUCGGUAAAAUAUCGAUAUCGAUAAAAAUUACAUGGAAACCACGGAAAUUGUAAGAAAAACUUGGAAAUUUUUAUUGAAACUUUGUAGGAUGUUUAUUUAGUCAAUUAUCUAUUAGUUUAUCACAAAAAAUUGGAAAGAAAUGCAUUGCAUGAUGGAUUUAACAUUAUCAAGUUGAUUAUAUAGCGAGCUGACAAACAUUGUAAGUGUAGAAAAUAUGUAGUAAUUAAUGAAAGAAGUCUAAACACACCAUAAUCAUUUAUAUAUAAUGAAUUAGUACAAUAUUUUACACUUUAUACAUUGCAUGGUAAGAUACACAAGUGACUUUGUACCACAUAGAGUUCCUAUGAGGUUCAAAAUUUUCACUAUCUUCAUCAUCUCUAUGUGUAUAGUGAGUGUAUUGUGAAGAGUAGUUAUCCAAUUUAAUGAAUAAUAAUCCAAUUUCAUAAUAAUCCAAUUUAAUGAAUAAUAAUCCAAUUUCAUAAAAAAAUAAUCCUAAUAUAAAACAUCGUGAUGAAUAAUAAUCCAAUUUGAUAAUAAUCCAAUUUAAUGAAUAAUAAUCCAAUUUGAUAAUAAAAAAAGGCGAUAACAAGCCAAUUGGCAAAAAUGAUUAAAAAAAUCUAAAUUGUCUAACUGACCGACACUCUUAUAGACUCAUUAUAUCACUUUUAUAGACUCAUCUUACCCUUAUAAAUUCAUUAUUUUUCUUGAAAUUGAUUAGAAUCAUUAGAAAAACAAUUUUUUGCAUUUCCAUAUGCCUAACCAAUAAAUACAACUUCUACUAUUUCCCUGAAAUUAUAUAUUUUCACUUUUUCCCUGAAAUUGAGUCCUUUAUCCUAAUCUAAUCUAGACCCCCAGAUUAAUUUAUAUUUUCACUCUUUUUCUGAAAUUAUAUAAAUUGUGCAAUUGAGUCCUUUAUCCUAAUCUAAUCUGGACCCUUCAUCUUGAUUCUCACUCUCUGUCACGCUGCCAUGUGGCAGCCCACUAACCCUCACCCUAUCUCUCUCUCUUUUCCCGAGUCCCUCUCGGACCCCUCACUCUCUCAGAGUUCUCAACUCUAUCUCUCUCUCGAACUCUCCCUCCCCUGAACUCUCCCUCCCUCUCCUCCUGAACUCUCACCCUCCUGAACUCUCCCUCCCUCUCCUCCGUCUCUGGGAAGCACGGCGACGCGCAGAGGAAGCUCGGCUUCCCCGAUCGCACCCACACCCAGGCACACCCAAAUCCGUCCACCCCGAUGCCAGCGCAGCAUCUCCACCACCCUCCCUCCCUCUCCCUCCAUCUCCUCCGUCUCUGGGAAGCACGGCGACGCGCAGAGGAAGCUCGGCUUCCCCGAUCGCACCCACACCCAGGCACACCCAAGUUUUCAGGUGAGAUCCGACUAAACCCUAUGUUGAUUACCUCUUGCAUGCGUGAAAUCUGAAGUUUAUAUGUGAAAUUGAUGUUAAAAAUCGUGUUUUUGCAAGGUUUUUGGGACGAAAUCGGCUCGGGAAUAGGCACACCAUCUCCGGCGUUCUUCUCGGAGUCCGAUUGCACAGUUCCAAAAAAUGUCGCGAUAUUUCCAAAAUAUCGCGAUAUUAUCGAUAUUAUCGAUAUUAUCGAUAAUAUCGCGAUAUUUUGACGAAAAUCACACGGAUACCUAUUUAAAUAUCCAUUCCCCGAAAAAUCGAUAUUAUCGGCGAUAUUUCGCCGAUAAUAUAGAUAUUUAAAUCUAUGCUUAACAUAGAGCCGGCCUUUGAGUUCUUAAGAAGCACUUCUUGAAAAUAUUGAAAACAAGUCUGGACUCCAUUGGAGCCGACCUCAGAGUUUCAAUCCAAACCUCCAUUGGAGUCGACCUCUAAGUUUCAAUUGCCGAUGUACGGAUCUUCACGUGUGAACCACUAAAUGGGGUUUCCAUAUGAGGGAGCGUGUUGGCUAAGGAUUUUAAAUAUGAUCACCCCACUUUAACUAAUACCGAGUUUUUUUGUGAUAAAACCCCACACGUGACAGAUUGAACAAGUGGUAUUACUAAGUUGGGGACAAUAUCAGUGUAGUUAGAGUGGCCCCCCCUCAAUAUAAGAAUUCUUAUAGUAAUUAGGUUGAAUGCUACUAGCAUUAGACCCUAAGCUAGUAAAUCAAUUGCUGAUGUGUGGAUCUUCACAUAUGAACCACUAAAUGAGGUUGGCUAUCCCACAUAGAUAGGGGGAAGUCACAAAUAAGGGCUUUAAAUAUGAUUACCCCACUCUAACUAAUACCGAGGCCUUUUGUGACAAGACCCCACACCUGACAGAUUGGGCAGGUGGUAAUUAUUAAGUUGGGAACAAUAUCGAUGUAGUUAGAGUGCCCCCCCUAAGGCCCGUCAACCUAAGCUAGUAAAUCUAUUGGCAAUUUGUAGCGACUGACUCUAGUGAAGAAUGUGAAUUAUAUGUGAUGAAAAUUGACUAAUUAUUUUUUACUGAAGGCAUGGAUGAGGGAGUUUUCUAGGUUACUGUUGUUGUGCUAGCUUUUUGUUCGUCAUGAUUUUCUUGUAGGAAUUCCUUGGUGAGAAAAUACGGUAUACAAUUGUCACUGCCUUUCAGGUAUAGCUUGCCAUCUUGUAAAAAAUUGUUUUGGAUGUCUUUUUCUAAAACGAACAAUUUGCUUAGGUUGAUCUAUAGAUAUUUUCUAUUUGAGGAUGCCACCAUAACCAAUUUAAGAGGCAUCAGUUUCAACAAUUUUUAAAAAGUUGAAUGAAGGAAUGCCAAGACAAGGUAAUGUUUUAACAUAUUGUUUGAUGUUCUUGACAAUUUCAGUAUGAUUAGAAGACCAAGGAAGAUGAUUACUUCGGAGUCUAUCAAACAAGGGUUUACAUUGUUUUCUUAGAUUUUGAUAGAAGUUUGCAAUAUAAUUAAGAGAACCUAAGAAUAUCUGAAGUUGGCCUUUGUCAAGAAUUUCAUCUGGAAAGUUGUUUACAAAUUGUAUGACUCGAUCAAUUGGGCUGAUUUGGGAAUGGUGGAUAUUAAAUCGAAGGAUUCUGAUUGGUUUGAAACAACUUUAUCUUAAUGGCAGAGACUACCAGUCCAUUAUUUUUUACUAUUUUUAAGAAUUUAUUCAAAUGCUUCUAAUGUUGCUCAAUUGACUAGGAAAAUAUAAGAACAUCAUCAAUGUAAACUAUGAAAAUUUUACUUAAUGGGUUGAAUAUUUCAUUUAUUAUAUUUUGGAAUUCGCUAGGUGCAUUUUUUGAUUUAAAAGGCAUUACAUUCCACUCGUAAUGUUCAAACGGGUAACAAAAGCAGUUUUGUACAUUUUACCCCCUCAGGUUUCGGUGCAAUUACAAUCUCAUAUAAUAUCUUUAAAACAUUUCAAUCUCAUACAUUUAGUAUUUUUUUUCUUUUCAAUUUCAUACAACUGUUAAAAAAUUUGUUAAGUUAACCGUUAAGUGAUGACGUAGCAGAUAUGGGGCCCCCAUUUGUGCUGACGUGGCUGUCACAUUUAUACCAUGUGGCUAAACACUUAAUAAAAUAUUUAAAAAUUUAAAAAAAUUAAUUAAAGAAAAGUUUAAAAACAAAAAAAAACCCCAAAAUCCCCUUCGUCUUCCCCACCCGAGCCCACCCCCUUCUCCCAUCCCCAUCACCACCCCUUCCCCCAUUAAUUCUACACCUCCAUCUAACCCAAAAUUCCAAAUUCCCCUACCCAAGCCACCCCUCCAUCAACCCACUGUUCUGUUUCCCGCAUGUGGCCCCCUCUCUCGCUUCUGUCCCAUCUAUUUCCCCUUCCCCAUUUUCUCUCCCUCAGAAAAUCUAAACUCAAACAGCCCUAGAGAUUUUCAGAGCAAAAAAAAAAAAAAAAAAAAGGACUUGAAGCUUGAAUCGGCAUCAAAAGAUCAUGAGGUUGACCUGGUUUUGGGGCUGUUGAUUGGAGGCAACUUCCGAAAACCGGAGAACUUGAAGCUGGCCAAAGGGUUCGACAUAGAUCCGAGAAAGGAUGAGCACCAAAUACUACCAUCCUAACCGAAUGCGCCAUCUCCGUCGCCGUUUGAGUCGUUGGAGCCGGAGAGCACGCUUUUGGAUUCGCAUGCGAAACGGUAGAUGCAGACGUUGAGAAGGCAUGAAGUGAAGAGGAAGCAGGAGUAGAAGAAAGACCGGGGACAGAAUGAUCCCUAAUUGGAGGAAUAGCCGGCCAAGAGGGUUAAUCCAGUUGGCAGGGAUAAGGGGGUAGGCUCAGGUAGGGAAGACGAAGGGGAUUUUGGGAUUUUUUUUGUUUUUUUGUUUUUUUUACUUUUCUUUAAUUAAUUUUUUUAAUUUUUAAAAUUUUUUAUUAAGUGUUUAGCCACGUAGCAUAAAUGUGGCAGCCACAUCAACACAAAUAGGGACCCCAUAUUUGCCAUGUCAUUACUUAAUGAUUAACUUAACAGAUUUUUUAACAGUUGUAUGAAAUUGAAAAAAAAAAUACUAAAUGUAUGAGAUUAAAAUGUUUUAAAGAUGUUGUAUGAGGUUGUAAUUGUACCGAAACCUGAGGGGGUAAAAUGUAAUUUAUCUUUGUUUUUUGGAUUUGAAUUUGCCAAAAACCACUCUACAUAUCAAAAUUUGAAACAACUACUGACGUAGUUAGUCUUUUUAUUAAAUCUCUUUUAUAUGGGAUUGGGUAUUUUAUCCAUUCUAAAACAGGAUUGAAGGGGUUGAUGACUAGUCCUGGUGCACCUCAUUCUAAUUCAACAUUUUCUGGGCAAGGAGGUGCUAAUCAAAGCUGUUGUCCAGGCCAUUCCCGCUUACCCCAUGAACAUUUUUAAGUUCCCUGCUACCCUAUGUAAGGAAUUGGAUGUGUUGAUUGCUAAAUUUUGGUGGGGUGACUCUGGUGAGAGACGAAAAAUUCAUUGGGUUUCUAUGGAGACUUUGGGUUUACCAAAGCAUCUGGGUGGCAUGGGUUUCAGAAACUUCCAGGAGUUCAAUGAUGCCCUCCUUGCCAAGCAGUGCUGGCGGUUGAUUGCUGAACCUGACUCGUUGUGGGCUCAAGUGAUGAAGGCUCGGUAUUUUCCGAAUUGUUCCUUUCUUGACGCAUCCAAAGGUGGACGUGCUUCUUGGGCUUGGUCAAGCCUUCUGGUGGGAAGGGAGUUGAUUCUCAAGGGUGCUCACUGGCAGAUCAUGGGUGGGGAGGAAGUUCGGCUGUGGGUGGAUCGUUGGCUGCCUGCGCUUCCGUCGGGACAUCCCUCUCCGAUGGGCGAGGUUGCAGUGACCAGAAAUACCCGGGUAAGUUCUAUUAUUUGUCCAUCGUCCAGGACCUGAGACUUUGAGUUUCUCCUGCCCUUUCUGUCGGCGGGGGAGUGUGCGGCUAUUAGUAACACCCCUAUUGGAAAUCCUCGGAGGAAGGACCGGCUGGUUUGGGCGUCCACCAGGAAUGGCAACUACUCUGUCAAGUCCGGUUAUUUAUGGUUACAGUUGCAUUCACUUUCGUUGAGAGAUCAUCGUUCCCCCUGGUCUCGCUCUGUUCCGGAGUUGCUGUGGAAGGGAAUUUGGAGGAUCAGGGUGCCACCCAAGGUUAGGAAUUUUCUUUGGAGCUCGCUCCACAACGCCUUAGCUACUGUGGCUGUGCUGUUUCGAAGACGCUCUUCUCCAACCCCUAUCUGCCCAAUUUGUCUUUGUCAGGAGGAAUCAAUUGUGCAUCUUUUUCUCUCCUGUCCUUGGGUCCUCUCUAUUUGGUCUGGGGGGGCUCUUAAGUACAAUAUCCAGGGUGGGAGCUUAUCUAGCUGGGGUGCUUGGCUGCUUGAUGUCUUCACUUCUAAUUUGGGCUCUUCGGCGAGUAAAGAGUGGGUUCUAACUUAUGUGGCUUUCACGUGUUGGCAUAUUUGGAAGUCUCGUUGUGACUAUGUCUUUAAUCAGGUCCAUAUCAUUCCCUCUAAGAUUAUUAUGGGUAUUGAGCUUUCUGUUGCUGAUUUCCUGAAUGCCAAUUCGGCCCAUGAGAUCCCGCGGACGGUGGAUCAUGGUCGGGUCAGGCAGCCUUGCAGGUGGACUCCUCCAGUUUUCCCUUUUGUUAAACUGAACGUGGACGCUAGUUGGUCUCGGGUGUCUAAGGCGGGGUUUGCUGCGGUUGUGGCUCGAGAUGCUAGGGGGAGUUUAUUGCUGCUGUGAGGUAUCCCAUUUUUGCGUCUUGCGUUGCGAUGGCCGAGGCGUUAGCUCUGCUCCGUGGUUGUGAGCUAGCGGUCUCUCUGAACAUUAGUUCGGUCAUUUUAGAAUCUGAUUCCCUUGAAUCUAUCUCUUGUCUCUCGAAUUCUCUUCUGAAUGGCAAUUGGGAGGCUUAUCCGUUCUUGGCAAGUGCUUGGGACUUGGGUGAAUCUUUCCAGGAUUGUCGCUGGUCUUGGGUUCCAAGAUCGGCCAAUUUGGCGGCGGAUUCUCUUGCGUCGUUUGGUAAUUUGGAGAUGUGUAAUGUUGUUUGGGUCAACCGGCCCCCAUCUUCUUUGGUUUUUGUCCUUAACAAUGAUGGGUUACCUUGUCCUCAUUAGUUUCUCCCUGUGGCGGUGUCGAGGGUGACGCUUUGCUUUUGCGGCGUCUUAUUUGUUGUACCCCUCUGCUCUGUCUUUGUGGUUUGGUUGUGUUUGCCUUGUCUGGCUUUCGGUGUUUGCUUUGGCCUCUUGGCCCGGGAAUGAUAUUCUCUGUUUACCAAAAAAAAAAAAAAAAAAAAAAACCCUGAGCAAGACCAAGGGGAUUUACUUUUACAAAUUAUUUUUUUGUUGAGUAAUUUUGAUUUUCUUUUUUUACAAAAUUUUAUUAUUUCUUGGCUCAUUUAAAUUAGUCAAGCUUUAGUGGGAAUAUUUUUCUCAUAAGCCCCUUGUCAUAUCGAAGGCUGUAACAUGUUGUUUCCUAUGCCAGAAGCAGUAGGGAUAUUGACCCCCAAAAAAAGGCAGAACGUAUAUCAGCACAGACUUCUGUUUUAAGUUUCUCUUAAAUUUUUUGAAUCUUAUGUUGAAUGGUUAUCAAUUCUUUUAAAUCUAAUUUCUUGUUUGAGAAAAUCACUUAGUCUAGAAACUGCAUGCCGGCGUCGUCCCAGCGCCGUGUUGGGUUUUCCGCCUCGUCGUCAGUUGGUCGUGGUUCGCUGCGUUGGUUGCCCAUUGACGUUGAAUUUUUCUACACUUGGAUUGUGACUUCUUUUGUUACUUCGUUAAAUUUUUCUACACUUGUGUUUUUAGACUUAUUUUUUUGGGAGGUAUUUUAAAACUACUUUGGCCUUCUUGGCUCAUACUUUCCUUAAUUUUCUUAAAUACUCUAAUUCUUAAUUCAGGAUUUUCAACUUUACUGAUUAAUCAAUUGAAUGAUACAAAUAGCAUAACAGUAUCAGUUAAUUACCAUAUAUUAGAGUAAAAUCACUUUCUCUUUUUAGUUUAUACGCAGUCUUUGUUAAUAUGCAGACAGGGACCAGCGACCACCUAAUUCUGAUAUAAUAUAAACUUUGAUUUAAUUACGUUUUCACAGAAGUACUUUGUGUAGGCUCUAGAAUUUGAACUUUUCUUAUUGUUUUGUUCCUUGCUUCACAAACAAUCGCAGUUGGCUAACGUGUUUUUCAUUGUUUUCCAUAUCUCUUGAUACAAAAUAAAUCUGGUUAAAUCCAAGAAUUAUUGAGAAGGACUUGUAUGGCAUUGUUGAAUUCGACUUUAUGCUACGAUAUGAAUGGACAGAUUCUUGAAAUAUACGAAGGACAUAUAGGAAACUUAAUUGGACUUGGAUAUUCUGCCCUCCCCAUCCUAUAUCCUCCCCAUGCCCUCCUAUUUUUGUGGUCACGGUUAAGCCACAUCAUAUUUUAUAUUUUCAUUACUUUUUGUCUUAUUAUUUCUAUAAAAAAAAUAUAUAAAAUGUUGACGUAACUUAACCGUGAUCAUAGAAUAUAUGAGGGCAUGGGAAUGGUAUGAGAUGAGGAGGGCAGACAAUCCAAGUCCAACUUAAUUUCAAGGUGAUUUGAUUUUUAGUCCUAAGAAUUGUCGGUCCCAUACAUACUAGGUUGUACGUAGACUCGGCAGUUUCUGACACGACACGAAAACGACACUAAAAUAACUGGUUUCGGGUCAACAGGAUAACUAAUCGGGUGACCCGUUAAAAACCCGUUAACGGGUAUACACGCGGGUAACACGUGGGUAACCUGUUUUGACCUGUUAAGAAAAAAUUAUUUUGAUAUUUUUAAAGUUUAAUUACUAAAAGAUUUAUUAUAAAAUAGUAUAGCCAUAUUAAUAUAUACAAUAUAUUCUAUUUUAAAUAUAUAGUUUUGUAUUAUUAUUCUAUAUAAGUUUAAAAAAAAAAAUUUGUCAUUUUUAAUUUUAUUACGAGAGUUCCUUACUAUCAUUACUAGGAUAAAUUUUACUUAACAUGUUGUUGUCCAAAAUUAAAAUAAACUAGUAUAGUAUUUGUAUAAGCAAGAACUACGAAGACAUACAUACAAGUAUGAAAAAUGUGAAAGAAUAUAUAAACACUCGUGAUUCAUCAUUAUUUCUCCACGAGUAGAUAAUGGUUACACUUACAUUAUCAUUAAAAUUUUUAAAAUCCUACAAACCCUCAUGAAUAAUGUUUUUUAUUUGAGGGCAAAAUUAAUAAAAUUAAUAAGAAUUAUUGUAGAAGUGUAAAAAAUGUAAAAAAAAAUAUACAAUCACUCAUAGUGACAAGCUUUACAACUUUCAUGAAGGGGUCAGCUUCGAAAUCCAACACUAUAAUCCAUAAACCUUAAAUUUAUAUUUAACCGUCGAUUGUCAUUUACACUUUAUUCUUCUUACUGAAUUUCAUUUUUUAGAUUUUCUUUUUUGAAAACAGGAUCAUCUGGCGGAUGUAAGAAGAUGAACGGUUCAGAUCUUUGAUAUCACGUUUCGAUAUUUACAGUUAACUGAAAUAUGAGUCGAUGUCAUAUAGUUUGUAGAAACUUUAUAAACAACAAGCAAUAUUUUCACUAACCAUAAAACUAUGAAUAUAAUAUCCACGAUCCAAACCGUUUAUCUUCCUGCAUCCUCUAAUAGAUCAUGUUUUCAAAAUUGAAAAUCUGAAAAAACAAAAUUUGAUGAGAACAAUGAAACGUAAAUGUAAACAACAAUCAACAGUUAAUUUUUUAUCUAUGAUUUAUAUGAUUAUAGUGACGAAUUUCGAAGUUAAGCUCUUCAUGAAAGUUGUAAAGCUUGUCAUUACGAGUGUUUAUAUAUUUUUUUCUAUAUUUUUUACACUUCUACAUUAAUUAAAAAACUAUUAAAGACUUUAAUUAAAAAUGCUAGAGCAAUCAAUUUAGGUAAGCGAAAAUAUACUUAAAAGAAAAAUACGUUUUUAUGUUUUGGAUGUGACAAUAUGAUAUGUAUAUACUUAUUUAGUUAGUACCAUGUUUUUCAUUUGAUUAUUUAUUGGUUUAAAAUAUAUUUUUCUUAACGGGUAACGGGUCAUGUCAUAUUACCUGUUAAUAUUAUCGGGUUGAUUUCGGGUCGGGUCAUUUUACCCGUUUAUUUUAACAGGUGUUACACGACACGACCCGUUAAGAUAUCGGGUAUGACACGAAAACGACACGAAUACGAAAAAUACUACACAAAUGCCAGGUCUAGUUGUACCUCUCCAAACACCCCCUUACCAAGGAAAAGUGACAUUGAUUCAUUCAUUUGAUAAAAAAAACAGACGAUAUAUUUGUCCUAGUGGUAGAAAGUAAAGCACCUUUAGUUUCCUCUUCUUUUUUUGAUAGAGAUGUGUAUGAAGAAUCCAUGUACAAAGAUGUCUACAAUAUAUUAGAAAAAUAAACUUUGUGUCUAAUGUUGAUGAAAUUGUGUACACGCUUCUUACACUCCUAUGGUGAAUUUCAUGUAUUAUUUGUUAACUUUUCUUGUGCCCCUAGCCAUUUAACUUUUCUCGUAAUAAAAUAUUUCUUGUGCAUCAAGUAGAGUGCGAAAAUUCUUGUAUAAAUAUUCUAUAUCUCGCAUCUCAUUAUUCUUUCACAUAAUUUUAUCUCAUCAUUCCUUCACUUUUUUGCCCAUUAACUAAUAUGUAUAUGUAUAUUAGAAGUGGCCCAAAUGGGGUAUCUUUAAUUUCAUCCCAAAUAUUCUUAAAUCUUGAUUAAGCUCAAACUUAACCUUUCAUUCUUAGCACUUUUAUAUACCAAUAAAUUAUUGGAAAUUUAUAUGACUAUGGAGUAUGGAUUAAUGUUGAACAUUAAAUUAAUUAGUAUUAUUGACUGUAGUCCUCCAUCUUCGAGUGCACAAUGAUAUGGCUUUUAUGCUUUUGCCCCUUUAGAUAUUUCUAAAAUCUUCUAAUCACUUCUUCGCUAUACGCCUAAUUAUGUUUCAAUAGUCAAUAUAUUCUUAAAUCUUGUAUUUGGAUCUUGGUUUUCAAACCUAGCUGUCAAAUUUUCAGUAAUCGUGAUUAGUUUAUGGGUCUGAUUUUCAGAUUUUACUCAGGCUUGGACGUAAUUAACCAAGUUACUUUUUUUUGGUCAAUUAACCAAAUUACUUAAAAGCCAAAUGCUCAUCGAGUAUUAAAAACAAAGUAAUAGUCUCGUCAAUCUGGUUAAAGUUUUCAAGUGGAUAGGGUACGUGGUAGCAAAUGUCUUUAAACUUUAUUUCAUAUUUAGUUUACAUGAACUCUAAUAUUAGUUUUUUUUUCGUCCUCCAACUUAACUCUGCGUUGCAUGAGUGGUCAUUCAGUCAAAUCUAUCUUCUUUUCCAUCAAAUUUAAGGAUAUUGUGGAUUUUUCAUACAGGAAAAAAAUGUAAUUUAUUUAAAAAAGAGGAGCUCGGCUCUUAAGAUUAAGGAGGAGUUUCUCCUCAAAAUACUUCUUUGUCUACUUAGAAGUUAGUGCUUAUGAUAUGAACCGUUUAUAUUAUAAAUUAUUAUGUAAAAAUCAUCUCUGCAGAAAAUAAUUAAAGCUAAAAUUGUUUAGUCAUAUCCUUAAGGAGUUUCAAUCAUAAGCACAAAGUUUUAUGAAUUGGUCACAAGGUAUUUUAAGGAGGAGUUUCUCCUCAAUCCUUGAGGAGCCAAGAAUCUUUCUAAAAAAAAAAAAUAUCAUUUUCUUAUUGUUUGGAUGAAAUUCUAAUUUUAUUCCUCAAUUAGAAUGAAUAUAAUUUAAAGACAGAAGAAACUAUUAGUAGACUUCAAAGACGAAAAAUAAACUGGUACUAUAGAUCAGAGACCUUGCUACAAUUUAGUCUUGUGGAUAUUAUGAUACUCAUGUGUAUUAGUUGGAUUUGAGGCCGACCAAAAUGGUAUAUUAUAUAUUAAUGGAAGGUUUAAAUAAUGGAUUAAACAAUAAAAAGGAAAGUGAAAGAAUCAAAUAUAUUCCAACCGCCAGAACUGAAAGUGGAUGCUAGGAUUUCGGUUUUGAUUUACAAACCAGAAAUGUCGUGGGAAGCUGGGAAUCCCCACAUUAAACGACGAAAACAGAAAAUUGGAAACGCAUAAAGUUGUCGAAACAUGGUGACUGAUGAGGUGUAAAUGUAGAGUCCCACAAAUGAAAAUGGAACUGCGUGCAACACCUGGGUAGAUGCCAUUGGAGAGCAGAAAUUUGGAGGUUUUAUAGGACGAAUGUUUUAGUGUACAUCUUAGAUCCAACAGCCAACAAUUUAAAAUAAUUGCGACAGGCGAAGAAAUCCAAAAUUAUUUAAACAACAAAGGCAAAACUUCCUCUUUCAACGAGCUAGUAGUGGUGAAGAGAAAAUAAUAAUUUAUUAUUGCUAGCGGAAAGUUUCAAACAAUGUGUCUCCAUAGUCUAUAGAGAGACAAAUGACACAUCGCAGCAUAAGUUGUUGGCCUCUCUAUGAAUCCCAAUGCAGCAUUUGCAUUAGCCAAACAUAGUUAAGCGUCAAAUUUGUCAUUCAUAAAAGCAAUACUUCAGACUUCCAUUUACAAAUGAUGAAAAAUAAUUUGAUAAACCUAGAGAUUAUACUAGAUUUUAACAAUGUAGGUAAUCAAAUUAGUACAAUCAAAAUCUAAUCCAACACAUGAGCUUAGUCAAGAAACCAUAUCAUCGAAGAUAAAAAAGAAUUCAAAUACACCAAACUAGUCAUAUAUUAGGUAUUCGGCUCACUUGGUAACAAAAAUGAAAACAGAUAAUAUAUCUUAAGAAUCUCAAAUUCAAAAGUGAACGUGUGUUGGGGGAUUUUUGUGAAAUCAUUUGUCUGCAAUUUUUUGGAUCACUAAUAUCUCUGUAGGUCCCAUGAUUACCUUUCUCUCUGUUUGUUGUGGUCUCUUGUCUCUUGACAUGUGUUCCUUGUUUGGAUAUCUGUCCCCCCUGGUUAAUAUUUUCUUGGCCAAAUUGUUUUUAUGGUCUAUGUGGUGAUACGCCAUUUUUAAUAUCUCAUGGUGUUGAAAAAAUUGUUAACUAAACUCUCGUGGUAAAAUUUGUUAGCAAUUGAGGUCUAAACCAAACUUCUGUUAAUCUUCUUGUUAAAUAAACUCACGUGAUAGUCACAUAAGUUUGUUCACCAGAAGAUUAAAGAACGUAUGAGUUUGGACCUCAAUUGCUAACAGGCUUCACCAUGGGAGUUUAAUUAAUACAUUUUUCACUACGAGGUUGACAUUAAAAGUGACAUGUCAUCGCAAGGGCCAUGAAAAUUUUUUUUGGCCUAUUUCUUUGAGUAUAUAUAUAUAUUAUUCCUACCAGGGCUUAUUUGUUCAUCUUUUACACAAGUUGAAAUAAAUGUAACGCAUCUUAUUAAAUAAGACAGAGUCUAUACAAUCAAUUACAACAAAUAGAUAGACAAUUUGUAACACUUUUAUCAAUCGUGACCAUGUGUUUUAUACAGUUUGGUGACUGAAAAAUAACUUAUUUGAUACAUUUUUCCUUCAAAACAUUGAGUAGCCUAGUAUUAUUCUAAUGACACGUUUACAUAAAGGUAAUCAGAAUCAAAAUAGGAAUUGAAUUCCGAUUAUGAGAUAAUCCAGUAUUUACCAAAUAUUGGGGAACAAAAAAUUUGGUGGGACCCACUCGAAUUUUGGAAUCCAACUUCAGAAUUUGAAUUCCCUACAUUUAAGCGGGAAUUGAAUUCCGGGUUGUUGGGGGAAUCGGAAUAGAUUUUUAUCCUCACUUAUUUCUAAAAUUUCAAAAUUGUCCUUCACAUUAACCCAACACCACAAACCGUUUCUUUGUUUAAUAUAAAAUUUUCCAACAAUGAAUUCAAUUCUGACUCAUUAUUAUUCCAACUCUUUAUCAAUUCAAUUCCUCCUCAACUUAGUUUCUCCCAUUUUAAUUACGGAUUAAUAAACAAGCCAUAAAAAGAAUCUUCCAAUCGGUAAAGAGUAAAGAAGAAAAAGGAAUAAUAUGAAUUGAAGAGAAAAGUUGCUUAUGAAUGUCAAGUGUCCCUUGGAAAAGAGUCAAAACUUACCGAUUGGACAUCCAUUGUCUACACUCAUUGUUUCUCUAUAAUUGACCAUGAAAAGCAAAAAAUGGCUGUAACUAAAGAGUGCAUAGGGGGAGCAUAUUGAUUCUACUUGAUUUGGUCACGUGAGUUACGUUUAUCACUCCUAGAAACUUAAUUAUUUUACACACAUUAGCCUUCGUGUACGUGCUCACGUGCGUGCAAAAGAUAUUUUUUGAAUUACAGCGUGCUACGUGCGACUUACACAUUUUAAAUGUAUUUAUAUGCAUAAAUUGACAAAAAGAAAGUCAAAUAUUUGAAGUAAAUGAAUAAUCUUAGAUCAUGCUAGAAGAAACACUUCAUAAAUCAAUCAAAGCAGCUAAAUUCACAUAAUAAAAUCGGUCUGUAUUGAAUUUACAUUAAUAAAAGAGAAAAUAAUAUUUAAUAAACAACUGAUUGAAUCACAUUAUUGCAAGCCCAUUGUGAGACUAAGGCCACCCCCUCCCCCUUAGUGUAGAUAUUAUCUUUUGUUAAAAAAAAGAAUCAUUUGACAACUAAUUUAAUCACAUUAUUAUGCGCGUGCGAAAGACAUUUUUUAUAAACGACAUUACACGCCUCUUAAGAUGACACGCCCCGACCCUGAUAUUCCCCGAAUACCAGGAUAGACACGUGCUGGCCGACACCCGAGGGUGACGAAAGCUAUUAAUUUAUACAAAAGCUGAAAUUAAGAAAUAAAUAAGGGUUAUGAAAUUUAAAUAGGCCAGCACGUGUCUAUCAUGGUAUUCGGGGAAUAUCAGGGUCGGGGCGUGUCAUAAGAUAUUUUGAACAUGUUUAAAAAUAGAGAAAAUAAUUACUAGCCUGUUGUGAGGUACUAAUUAUUAAAAAAAAUGUACAAAAAAAUUAAUUAUUAAAAAAUACUGUUAAAAUGACAAAAUAUCUCUGCCACAUUUGAUGCAUUAUUUUGGACUGCUUUUGAAGUUUUUUGUUUAAGGGGCAUUUCUGUCCACUUCUUUUUAUGAAACUUGUGAGCCUAAAAAACACUGUUCAUUGGGCUAUUGGCUUUAUAUAUAAGAUAACUGAAUAUGAUAUUGGCACAUCACUUUGUUUGGCGGACCAAAAAUCCUCUCUCCGCUCGACCUUGCCAAAAAGAGGGAAACGCAAUGUCGACGAAAUUAAAUUGUCCUUGACAUAUAGUCUAAUAAAAUUCUCAUAUGUGCACAUAUUUAUGUUAUUUACUAAAUAUGCGUGCUAACAUGUUAUUUGGUUUACAAAUUUGACAAUUUUAGUUUUGUUAAUGAAGUAAUAGCGUUUUCACUAGCCUAAAUGGUGGUGUCGAUAUGGUCGAAUCAGACUAGUACAUUUGUCUCUUAAAAAAAUUGUUACAAUUAAACAACUAAAAACAUGGAGAGGAGAAUAUGAACCCAUGUUGAAUUUCAAAAGGUAGCACUGCCACAAUGUAGGAGGACUUUAGGCCAUCUCUAACCAAAGGCUGGCCAGAUGACUCGUUUUAGCCAUCUGGCCCUCCAAUAAAUUAAUAUUUUAAUGAACAAUAAAGGGCCAUAUUUCUUACCAUCUCCAACUGAGGGCCAAAGGGCACGUUUUAGCCCUGUCACAAAAAACCAUCUCCAACCGAGGGCCAAACAUAAUUUAUUAUUUAAAACUACAAAAAUUCAAAUCCAACGGCUAAGUGACAUUAGCUAGCUGUUGGAUUUGAAUUUUUUUGGACUAUAAAUAGGGUGGAUAUUAGGCUAUAAUUCAUACAACUUUGAAUUCAAUCUAUUUCAAUUCAAUCUCUCUUUCAAUUCAAGUUUGCAAUGAAUUCCAACUUUGGAUCCUCUUCGAAUUCUAACUGAGGGUCCUCAUCCAAUUCCAAAUUGGAAGAAAAAUAGGCGCAGAUGAGACAAGAAGAUGAGGAGUCUGAUGAAGAAGAUGAAGCAUGGUGUAACGCACAAAACAGAGCAGCAACCAGGGCUGCGACCAUGGUGUGUCAGCCAACUGUGUAACAACCUCAAUGGGGUAGCUCUGUUGCUGGUCGCUCUUACAAACAACGAAACAGAACGAUGACUCGUGCUAAUAUGAUGAACAACUACUUUAACCCCAACUCUAUGUACACAGAAGAGGAUUUCAAACGUCGCUUCUGGAUGAUGCAUCAUGUCUUCGAGUGUGUACUUCGUGAUGUCCAGCAGGUCAAUCCAUACUUUCGACAGAAGCGGGACAAAACAGGCCUCCCUAGUUUCUCACCUCAUCAGAAGGUUACAGUUGUAAUCCGAAUGAUGGCCUAUGGCUCCCCAGCUAAUUCGAUGGAUGAAACCCAUGAUAUGUUUGAGUCUACAUGCCUUGAUACUUUUGAACAAUUAUGUGUCAUAAUUGUUCAGGUUUACAAAGAUGAGUACCUCUGUGAGCCAAAUCAAUAAAAUCUGGAUCGGCUCAUUCACAAAGCUGAAGACCGUGGAUUUUUGGGCAUGAUAGGGUCAUUAGACUACUUGCAUUGGGAUUGGAAGAAUUGUCCCACUAGAUGGAAAUGAGGCUUAUGUAGAAGGUCGAGAAAGGCAACUAUUAUGUUAGAAGCGGUUGCCUCGUAUGACACAUGGAUCUGGCAUGCUUUCUUUAGAGUCAUUGGAUCCCAAAAUGACAUGACAGUUCUUGGGCGUUCACCCCUCUUCAAUAGCUUGAAAGAAGGUAAAUCACCUCAACUUGACUACAUGAACAACAGUCGGUACAAUAUGGGGUAUUACUUGGCAAAUGACAUCUACCCAAAGUGGGCGACACUUGUCCAAGCAAUUCCAAACCCUAGGAAUAACGUCGAAAAGUUUUUUACCUUACACCAAGAGGCAUACCGGAAAGAUGUUGAGAGAACUUUUGGUAUUCUACAAGCACGGUGGAAGAUCAUCAGCGAAUUGGCAAGAUGGUGGAGUUGAGAAAAUUUGGACUCCAUCAUGAUGUCUUGCAUCAUAUUACACAAUAUGAUUGUUGAGGAUGAGCGAGAUGGGUAUAUUGAUGGAGAGUCCGUUGACGAUCAAGAUGAUCCAAAUAGGUCAAGAAAGGCUUGUGCAAAAAUAUAUGAUAGGCCUAAUUUACCUUUCAAUUAAAGAACUGGUAGUAUAUCUAUAAAUGAGUACAUGAGGUGCUAUAGAAUGAUACAUUCCCAUGCCACAAACAAGUACCUACGACAAAAUCUUGUUGCACAUCUUUGGGCCAAAAAUAACAUGGAGUAGGCGUUGAAGUUUUAUGUUGUUAAAUGUUUUUAAAAAUGUUUUUUAAGUUUCAUGUUGUUAAAUGUUUUUUUAUGUUGUUUAAUGUUAUUUAAUGUUGUUUGAUAUUGUUUAAUGUUGUUUCAUGUUACUUAAUGUUAUGUAAUGUUUAAUGGUUUAGAAGUUAUAAAGGAAAAAAAAAGAAUUUUUACAAUUUUCAAAACAAAUUUUGUAUUUAAAAAAAAAAACUGUAAAUAAAUAAAAAUAACAGCUAGCUGACGUCAGCAGCUAGCCGUUGCAAAUUCAAAUUUCUGCCCCGCUCGAGGCCGGCUGUCUGGCUGGUUUGGGCCAGCGAGUUGACCCUUUGGCCCUUUUUUUGUCUAGUAGGCCCAUGAGCCCUCUACCCUGGCCAUCAAUUGGAGAUCAUUUUCGGGCCAUUUUCGACCAUCUGACCCUCUGAACCCUUUGGUUGGAGAUGGCCUUAGUGGUUGGGGAAGACUUUGAAAAAGAAAAUAACACUUGCGUAAUAAAAUUCGAUAUGUUUAGUAAAAUGUAACCAGCCAUUCAUGUGCUUUUUUGUUUUUUUUAUUUGGUGUUGGAUUGGACGGCAGAAGGAGAAAGUAAGGCCAUCUCCAACCGAAAUAGGGUGACACACCCCGACCCAGAAUGUCCACUAGGACUCCGAAUCUAGUUGUGUUGGUCGACACCUGGAAGGUGAUGAAGCUAUAAAGUGUAGUGAUGUGAAAAAUGUGAAUAUAAUUAAACCUAAAAGUGCCUAAUCAAAAGAGUGCGCUGGUGUGCGGGAUUGAACCUAUUUCACACGUGAUCAGAGCAUAAGAAUAGUACAGUAAAUAGAGUAAGAGUUAUACCAUUGAAGAUAACCACUUAUACCGAGAUUUGGCAUGAGUCCUCGUCGAUAAGUAAGCUCAGCUACCAAAACCUGGAGAGGCGAAAAAUAGAAGGGUGAAUGGGCACAAAAACAUAUGUUUUCAAAAUCCAUUUAUUUUCGGAACAUACUAAGCCCUCACUGUAAAACAUGUAUAGCUUCCAGAAAAUCAUACUACGUAUAAGUAUGAAAUCAAAUUCAUGCCAACAGUAAAAUACAGAAGUAUGCCACAGCACAAUAAGUCAAUAGCAAUAUAAAUGUAGGCAUGUGCUCCACAAUCUAAGCGAGUAUGUCAGUCGGAGUCACCUAAUGUGACAUGUACGACUGCACCUAUUGCUCAUCAAUCUAUGCUAACACAUGAGUCGGAGUCACCUAAUGUGACCUGUACGAUCUGUACAAUAGGGCUACUUGGAUCCAAGGCGAGCGUGCAGUGCGGAGGUGAACAUCACAUGAAGGACUGGCCCCAACCUGGGGCGGGAACACUAACACUGGGUGCAUCAAUGAUGAGCACUACAUGAAUAUACGCAUGCCAUAAUGAUUCUAUGAUUGUAACAAUAUAAUAACUUACUUGAAAUUAUCUGCGUAUCACGUAGGAUUGUUUUAGCAUCUCAUAAUAAUGAACAUAAAUGAGCAAGUAAAAUUCAUAUGAAUAUGCCAUGACAAUAUGUAAAUCUCAACCACAUAACAACAUUUUCGAAAUUAAAUAAAUCAUGGCAUAAAAUGCUUAAAUCGAUUUAAAGGCAUUUGUGGAAACUAUAAGGUGUGUGUAUAUAUAUAUACACACACACAAAAACAAAGUGCCCAUUCACAGAUAUGCAGUAGGAACAAAGCCUCUGAGCCUUAUUUGACCUCAUACGUCCUUGGAAUACGUUUCCCCUAUACGUGAAAUUACUAAUUCAAUUAGUUUAAUAACACAUAUACGGAAACUUAAAUAAAACCCUCAUAGUUUGCUCAAACAUAGGUUUAAAUAUAUGAAAUCGAUCUACUCAAUGUCAUGGACCUACAUAAAUUGACAGAAAGCCAAUCGGAGGCCGGACGCGCCGCCUAAGGCACAACCCUACGCGCUACCACGUGCGGGUAGAGACUGACGGAGGCCCUAACGGCCGUUAAAAAUAUUCCGUUAAAGUGCCGCGAUAUUUCGUUAAAUGGUAACGGUGUUACCUGACGCCAUUAGGAUAUUCCUUCAGAGUUGACGGAAUAUUCAGUCGUCUUCUCCGAUGGUCCUUUCCGGUCGUUACUGUCUGAACUAGCCGAAUAUCUGUAAAUCUUCGCCGGUUUCUGGGUAAAAUUUCAAAGCUUCAUAACUUGCUCAUUUCUCAACCAUUUUUCACAAAAUUUAAAUGGAAAUAAAGCUUAUGAUGAGUAGAACACGAUUGUACCUUUUGGAAGUCCAAAAAGUGGACGAAGGUGGCCUGAAAAUGGCUCAAAAGGUUCGGGUUAAACUCUGUCUUCUCCAAACCUUGUGUUUCGAGGUAGUCUUUUCUUCAACCCUUCACUAAAGACCUCAGGGAGUUGAGUGGAGGCCCUUUAGACUUCCUAAAAACUUGUAACUUGCUCGUAACUCUUCGAGGAAAAUUUGAGCCAAGUCGAACCUUCUGAGUUGGCAAGUCAAAACUCGUCCAAAUCAUGAUCUAGGGGUACGGCUAUGUUUGUGGAGGUGAGACGAGUUCGAAGGUGUGGUUUUCAAGCCACGUUUGUGUGUUUUGGUGCAUGUUUGAGAGAGUUGUAGAGUGAGAAUGUGAAAGAGGGUCUUCGGGGAGAGAGAGAGGUUUACUCAAUUUCUGAUUGGUGGAACAAAAAUGGAACUUGUUUUCUGAUUGGGCGUGAGUGAGAGAGGGAAAAAAUUGAUUGGUGAAGAAGAAAAUUAGGGAAAAAUGAAUGGUGUGAAGGAUUGGUGGAAAAAAUCAAAUUGAAUAAUUUGAUUGGUUGUUGAAGAUAGAGGGACUGGAUCACCAAUUAGGGAAGGGAUGGAUUUUGUACAAUUUUUAAUGUACAAUAUCUACAUCUUUGAUAGUGUUUCCGACAUUGUAAAUUUGUGCGUGCGUGUACAAAAUUACCCGUGAUUAAUGUACUUUAACGGUGCGUAACUUUUUUGUUACAAAUCCGAUUCGAGUCUAACAUGCUCUCACGCAUUCGUAACGACGAGUACUUUUUAAGUACAAAACUAGGAAAAAGAAACAAUAGUCGAAAAACUACGUCCACGUCAGUUUCCACUUUUGUCUAAAGAAGGGUAAAAUCGUCAAAUUACACCAACGGAAAAGAAAUUACAGUGAGAACUAAGGACGGCUCGUCACAGAGGGCCAGAUGGCUCAUUUUAGUAAUUCGUCCCUCCAAUAAAUUAAUAUUUUAAUGACCAAUGCAGGGCCAUAUUUCUUACUAUCUCCAACCGAAGGGCCAGAGGGUCAUAGGCCAAACAUAGCCCUGUGAAAAAAAAAACCAUCUCCAACCGAGAGCUAAAGGAUCAUAGGGUCAUACAUAAUUUAUUAUUUUAAUUGAAUUACUAUGGUUACUUAAAUUAAAUUACCUCAAUAAUUUUCAUGUUGUUAAAUAUUUUUAAAAAUGUUGUUUAAGUUUCAUGUUGUUAAAUUUUUUUUUAUGUUGUUUCAUGUUACUUAAUGUUAUUUAAUGCUGUUUAAUGACUUAGGAAGUUAUAGAAAAAAAAAAUUUGUUAAAAAAAUAAAAUAAAAUAUGACGUCAGCAUGUGGCCCGGCUCGGGGUUGGCUAGUUGGCCAUUUGGCCCUUUUUUGUCAAGUGGGGUUCAAGAGCCAUUUGGUCUAGCCCUCAGUUGUAGACGGUUUUCGAGCUAUUUUCGACCAUCUGGCCCUCUGAACCCUUCAGUUAGAGAUAACCUAAGAACCCUAGUACAUGAGAAAAUCUAGACGAGUGAUACUAUGUAUAGAUAUGAUUAUUUUAUCUAAUUCAUGCAAAAUGUUAUAAUACAUAUAAGGUUACAUAAAAUCAGUAAGAAAUUUAAUUCGUGCAAAUUAUUAUAAUACAUAUAGGGUUACAUAAAAUCAGUAAGAAUCUUAUACUAAUUAUAAUAAGAAAUUAUAUUUUGAUAAUACAUACAAUAAUUACGAAGACGAUUCCAAAUUAAUUAAAGACUAUUCUAACACUUCUCGUUCGUCACGUGCCUCCGGCGUGUGUGACGUGUGUUCCAUCCCAUACAUAUAUACUUUCAUCAUUAAUAUUUCUAAAACUCUCUCGACCAGUAUCUCUCUGAUUCUGUAAAUCUCUUCCCAUAGUUAAGUUGCAGGAUUAGCUCCAACCAGUAUUAAAGUAUCAUAUCUUUGUAGUUUGGAGGGAAAAAUAUUUCUGGGUUUGGUUUGAAAUUAAGAAACAGAAAUGUUGUUGCAGAAGCAGAAACGUUUUGAUUGGUUGGUGCAGAUGCUAGUUGUUGUGGGAUCAGUAUUAGUUGUGAUUGGAGCUACCAAUUUGCGGACUGUGGAAGGCAGGCCUCACCGGAUUCUUUUCGAUACAGAUGUUGAUACCGAUGAUUUAUUCGGUCUCUUGUACAUCUUGAAGCUUAACAGAUCAGAGUUUGAGUUGGAGGUGAGUUCAUCAUCCAAUAUCCAUGAUCAUCAAUUGUUUUUGUUCAUUCAUGCUCCAAAUUUUUUUGGCCAAAAAGUACUCAAGGCUAUAAGUUGGGUUUGUCAAAGCUAAGCUUUCCAAAUCUGCAAAUGCUUAGAGCUCUCUACACGUCUCUUUGAUGUAUCCAGAGAAUAAUUAACUGUAUAUGUAUGCAUAUAUGCAUGCAUGCAUGCAGGCAUGCAUGUAUAUAUAUAUAUAUAUGAAUGAUAUUAUAUAAGCAAUAAAAUAUAUAUACAUAUAUAAUAUUAUAUUCAUUUCUUGCCUUAUAAAUCUAAGCAAGUGAUGAUCACCAGCUUAACUCGUCGAACUAAUGUUGUUGAUUUAAUUCAUAUAAUUGGCUUUGAAGAUGCAGAACUUGUUUUUUUCUUUUUAAUGGCUUUAGCAAAAGUUAUAGUUGAUUCCAUUAUGAGUCCUUGAGGACCGAGUCAAAUGAUUCAUAUAGUUGAAUGGAUUCUGUGUUUGAAAAUAUGUGUAAUUAAUUAAAAAAAUAAUAUUUUUGGUCAAACGACAUGUAACAACUUUUAUUUCCUUUAUGUAAAAGUGAAUCACUAAAAAUAUAUUCCUACAGUUUCCACUCCUUGCACCUAAAUUAGUGUCUCUUUCUACACAAAUCAGAAAAGUUUUUUAUUGAACAAAGUAAAAAUAAAUAAAUAAAUCAUUGUUGUUUCCUGUAACUUUGGUAGUUAUAGCACUGUAGAUUUGUUUUACCACAGGCAGUGACUGUAAAUGCAAAUGCUUGGACCAAUCCUGGGCAUGCUGUGCAUCAAAUCUAUGACAUUUUAUACAUGAUGGGGCGUGAUGACGUGGCAGUUGGAGUGGGUGGUGAAGGUGGGAUCAAAGAAGAUGGUACAAUUUUGCCAAAUGUCGGUGGAUAUCUUCCAAUUAUUGAACAGGCAUGAACAAAUUAUAUAUAUCUAAAUUCAUAUAUAAAUCAUAAUUAUGCUUAAUUAAUCAUGUAAAAUUCAUGUUUAUUGACACCAAUUUAUAUUACUUUUAAAAAUAAUUAACUUCAGGGGACUACGACAGCAGGAGGAUGCAGAUAUAGACAAGCCAUUCCUGUAGGUGCUAGAGGUCGGUUGGAUAUUGAUUCUAAUUUUGGCCUCAGAAAAUCUUUCCUCCCCCAGGUAAAAAUAAUGUAAAGACAGUAAUUUUAAGCUGUAUUUUUCUUAUAUAUUUCUCUGCUUCUUUUUUCUUCACUUUGAGUCUGUCUUGUAGAACUUGUUGCGAAGUGGUGUUACUCCUUGUUUCUUAAACCAUUUUUCUUCUUCUGCAUAUACCUAUUUAAAAUUAUUUUUCUAAUAUAGAAUGAAGUGAAUGAGAUAAAAAAAUGGCGCUUAAGAAUCAUUUCUCAAAGUUAAAUAUUUGGCUUGAAAUAUAGUGACCCAAGUGGCUUCACGUUGAAAAUAAAAACAGUUCUACAUUUAAGCUAAUAGGGAGAAAUUCUGAUGAGCAUUAUAUUACUGUACUAAAUCAACAAUAUCAACAACAUACCGAUACUUGAUUUAUAUCACAUAAAGACUCUCUGAGGCUCUUAACAUACUGAUAUUUAUCGUCAACAUAUAAAGGAUAUAGAUAUAUAUCAACAACAUAUAAAGAUAGUAUCGAUAUAAUAUGACUAGUUGAUAACAAUUAUAGUGUUAUGGUUAUGUAAGAACAGUACUAUAGUAAUGGUGUUACAUGAUAGCUUGUCUGACAAAUUCAUACAUGAACAAGUGAAGAACUGUUUCCUUUGUUCAUUUUUGGUGUUACAUUAAUUCUAUAUUUUGCUCAGGAAUUUUUCUUUUUUUCUUUUCUUUUUCGUAAAUGAAAUUAGGGGAGCAGGAGAUAUACUCCCUUUCGACAACCUACUGCUCAGCAAGUGAUGAUUGACAACAUAUCUGCAGGUCCCAUUACUGUAUUUCUGAUAGGAGCACACACAAACUUUGCCCUUUUCCUUAUGAACAAUCCACACCUAAAGAAGAAUAUUGAGCACAUUUAUGUCAUGGGUGGUGGUGUGAGAUCGAAAAACCCUACUGGUUGUUGCCCGGAAAAUUCUACGUCGUGUGUUCCUCGGCAGUGUGGUGAUCCUGGCAAUGUCUUCACAGACUACACAAGUAAUCCUUAUGCUGAGUUCAAUUUCCUUGGUGAUCCCUUUGCUGCAUACCAGGUUGUACUACAGUUCAAUAUAUUUUUUCGGCCGCGAAAUCAUUGUCAGACGGUGAAUUUGGACCUCACAUUUUAGCAAAUGGCCGUCAACAUAACCAAUGGUUCAAAUUCAUAGUCUGACAACAUAAACAUCUUAUGUUGCCGAGCCGUUUGACAAGAGAACAUUUAUAUAGUAUGUAUAGUAGACGAAUUAUUGUGAUCAGAUUCACACAUUCGGGCAAUAACUAACUUGGUUAAUGGUUCAGAUUCACACUCUAGUCUAAUACUUAUGUUGUUUGACACUUUGAGAAGAGAACAUUUUCCGGGUUUGUAAGUGGUCGCAUUUUUUGACAACGAAAUUAAUAUAUAUUUCAGGUUAUACAUUCUGGGAUUCCAGUCACCCUUGUUCCUCUGGAUGCAACAAACACCAUUCCCAUUAGUCAAAACUUCUUUGAGGCCCUUGAGAAGAGCCAGAACACAUAUGAGGCACAAUAUGUCUUCCAGUCCUUGAAAAUGGCUUGUGAUACUUGGUUUGACAAACAAUUCUACACGGUACAUCCACGAUUAUUAGAUUUUUCUGUGUUUAACACAAUUUGUAUCUAUUUUUAAUGAAUCAAAUGAUCUGAUAUGAUACAAUGCGACUAUUUUCAGAGCUAUUUCAUGUGGGAUUCAUUUACAGCUGGUGUGGCGGUAUCAAUCAUGCGAAACAACUUGAAUAACCCUAAUGGAGAAAAUGAAUUUGCGGAAAUGGAGUAUAUGAAUAUAACUGUGAUUACUUCAAAUGAACCUUAUGGAGUAACUGAUGGCUCUAAUCCUUUCUUUGAUGGCCUCAAAGUUCCAAAGUUCAACUUAGACAAAAAUGGUGUGCAUAGUGGUCAUGUUCAAAAGGGACUAAGAGAUCCAUUUUGCAUUGGGGAGAAUGGCAAAGGGAAAUGCAGGGUAACUUGCCUUCCAGUUUACAGCUUCCAAAAUAUAAUCUCCUAUUCCUCAUUUGGCGUAUGGGAUUGAAUUGGAUUGGAUAAAUUCACUAGAUUUAAUGUUUGUUGAAUGAAGAAAUGGGUGCCAACUUCUAAGUUUUUGUCCAAGGUAGAAGAUAGAGAUUAGCCAUGAAGGAAACUAUCCUUCUGAGACCAAUCAUUUUGUGAGGAUUCGAAGAAAUUUGUUAUUUUCAUGACUAAUCCAUCUUCUUUAUAACUUGGACAAGAUUUGGAAUUUGGCGUCGAUUUCUUCAUUCAAUCCAAUUAUAGAAACUAAAUGAGGCCUUACAGCAUCUCCAAGAGAAACUCUAAUUUUUUGUUAGACUAGUAAGUGAAUAGUGUCAAAACACUAUUUUAACUACUCAGUUUAACUUUUUAUCUCAAACAACACUCUCUAUUUUAACAGAUUUUGAAUAAUUUAUUAUUAACAAUUCAAACCCAGCCCAUUCGUUUUCUAGAAAAACCUUCUCUCUCUUCUUUUUAUGCUCCAGGGUCCACCCUUGAGUUUUAUUACUUAUGUAAUAUGUAGAAAGUGAAUAGUUGCUCUCUAAAUUUGAAGAGUGACUAGUUAUUUUUAUAUAAUAGUGACUCUUUUACAAAAUCUCUUAGAGAUGAAUUUUUUAGUUUGGCUAUUUAAAAAAGAGUUUUGGUUUGUUUUACUGCAUCUCUUGGAGAUGCUUAGUGGUUAUAAGUUUAACUAACACAAUUCUCAUUUAAGGUAAAGUGCAGUGAAGUUUAUUGAUGAUAUAUCCACGUUCUAAAAAAAUGCAGAUAACUGCACUAGAGAAAAAUUUGCUUGCCUAUGUUAUAAUCUUUAUAAACUUGAUUUUGUUUUAAAAUCUUAAGAGUGUUUAGAUUAAGGGUAAGCUAUAAUUUUCUUUCCUAUAUUCAUUUAAUUAACAACAACUCUCAUGUUCACAUAUGAUUUUCGUGAAAUGGUGAUUAACUUCCAAUUUCGACACAAUCCAACAGGAUGGUUAUACAGAUGAAGUAACAGGAUCAGAGGCUGUGUCUGUGCUUGUUGCUACAAAAGCCAAACCAAAUCAGGACCCUCAAAGCCCACUUAACAGAGAAUUCUUCGUAAGCUUCCUGGAGGUAAUUAACCCCAGUAAAAGUUCCUUUUCUCAAUCAAUUUUUUUUUUUUUUGUUGAAAGUUUUCGACAAAAUGUCAACUCUUUUCCAAUUGGUUUUGCAGGUUCUGAACAACCCCAAACAGAAAGGGAGAUUCAAUUUAACUACACAAUUUCCAUUUUACAAGGAAGUGACAUAUAAACCAGAAUUUGGGAACAAAAAACUUGGUAAACCUGUUGUCUUUGACAUGGAUAUGAGUGCUGGAGACUUUGCAGCUCUCUUCUACCUCCUCAAAGUACCUAUUCAAGUGAUUAAUCUCAAGGUAGUUUUUUGCUUCUUCUCUUUUUGUAACUUAACUAGUUUAGUCGCCAGCAACUACUAAUGUUUAAAGCGUGAAUAAAGGGGCUUAUUUUCGAAAAACCCCCCACUUUUUCGGAACAUUAUAUUGGCCCAAAAAAACUCAAAAGAGCAGCUUAAUUUGUCAUUGAUUUCCAUACUAUGAGCAAAACCUGUUUGUGUGUGGUUCCAGGCAAUAAUAGUGAGCCCAACAGGCUGGGCAAAUGCUGCAACAAUAGAUGUGAUUUAUGACUUGCUGCAUAUGAUGGGCCGUGAUGACAUCCCUGUAGGUCUUGGAGAUGUAUUUGCUACGAACCAGUCUGAUCCAAUUUUCCCUGCUGUUGGAGGCUGCAAAUACCAACAGGCCAUCCCUCAUGGCAACGGUGGAUUGCUGGACUCAGACACUCUCUACGGCCUUGCUCGUGAUUUGCCACGAAGCCUACGAAGGUAUUACUUUUCGGUCAUUCAUCAAAUAUUGUGUCAGUAUACAUGUCAGUAUCUAAUGAGGUUAAAAGUGGACCCAAAUUUGAGUAGUGAACAGAACUUGGUAAGCGAAUUUGGUGAGUGUAGCGAUACUCUAGGAAAAAUCGUGUGUUUCUUUAGAUAGACCGAGACUGAAAUCAUAAGUACUUUUUACCAGGUAUACAACAGAAAAUUCUUUAGAACACGGAGCCCCGAAGGAUACAGAUCACCCUGAGCUCAGACAACCACUGGCAUUGGAGGUUUGUGAGACUCUGGUGAAAACACUGGAACCCGGAUCCAAGAUUACCAUAUUGACCAAUGGACCCUUGACCAAUUUAGCUAAGAUGAUCUCGUCCAAAAAGAACACCGUCUCUUUAAUACAGGUAAGUUCCUUGAACUUUGUCAUAUUUACCAUCGUUCUUCCCUUCCCACAAUCAUCAACACGUGUGCAUCAAGAUUAGCGGCAGUUAUGUAAAUAAGUUGAAAUUCACCCCAAAUCACUAUUUAUUUGAACAGUGCAAUUGAUAAUCAUUCUUUAGACUAAAGUAAUUUUAUCACGUCAAUAUUUGCAGCAAUGAUGCCAAUGUUUGCUAAUUGCAGGAUGUGUAUAUUGUUGGAGGGCAUAUCAGCAGCAAUGACAAGGACAAAGGAAAUGUGUUUACUAUUCCUUCCAAUGAAUAUGCAGAGUUCAAUAUGUUUCUUGACCCUUUGGCUGCAAAGGCAGUGUUUGAGUCCUCACUUAACAUCACACUCAUUCCCCUCGGCAUCCAACGCGAAGUUGGUUCGUUUUCCAAAAUCUUAGAACGGAUGCGCCGGAAGAAGAAGACACCCGAGGCCCUUUUUGUCCGGCGGUUGCUGUCAAGGCUCUACCGGUUGCAGCAAUUGCACCAUAGAUAUCAUCACAUGGUAACGAAGCUUCUUGUCUAAGACCAUAUAUACCUGAUUCAUGCAUUGUUUUUCUAUUUGUCUGUACUGGUUUAAUGGGUAAUGUUCUUUUGCCGGACUUGUACAUUCGGGCAACAAUCCACCUGAUUAACGGUCUAGAUUUACAGUCUGACAACUUACUUUCUCACUUCUCAUAUGUUAUAUUCUGCUGCAGCAAACUUUCUUGGGGGAAAUUCUUGGUGCAGUUCUCUUAGCUGGUGAUUCCCAUCUGAAUCAAACCUUCCAAGCGAAGCCCAUCAAAGUUUAUGCCGAAGGUGUUGAAUCCAGAGAUGGACAGCUUUUGAUUGACGAAAAUCAACGGAAACUGGUCAGGGUAUUGGACAGUGUAAAUCCUCAGGCCUAUUACAAUCUUUUUGUAGACCGGCUUAGCGAUUCAAACCAGUCAGCUAUACUGGGUAGUUUUGAAGAACAAGUAAAAUUCUGGCGUAAACCGCCGAAUCAAACCGAGACCGCAGCGUAAGACGUAGAAAUUUGUACGAGUUAUAUUGUACGAAAAAAGUAGAGUAGAGCGCCUAGAUACUCACUUAUCUCGCAACUCUCACCUAGAUAGAAAAUAGAUACUCUAAUUUUGCAUUUUAUUUAUUUUAAUAACUUGUAAGAUAAUUAUUGAAUACUUGAAUGAACACUCAUUAUAUAUGAUUCCCCAUGUUUCAAUAUGUUCUAAAACUUUCUAAUCUAUAUAUCAUUCUAUUUUUCAAUUUAUGUAUCUCAAUUUUGCAUGUGGUCCAAUAUCUUAGUGGAUAGGGUGUUGGGUUUCUACCCAGCAUUACAGUUCGAAACUCCCCUCUUCCCUAUAUUAUUGUAAUAGUUUCAAACUCUUCCCGUCCCCUUAAUAAUAAUAAAAUUAAAAUAAAAAAGGUUUAUGUAUCCCAAUACACAUAUAUUUUUAAGUAUAAAUAUGCACUUAUUUAUACAAUAUAAAAUGAGUUUGAUUAAGCCACUUAGUACUACGGUUUUGUGAUAUUCCUUUUCACUGGUAAGUGAGAGGUUUUGAAUUCGAUUUUUGCCAAAAGAGAAUUUGAACCACAUUAUUACUAGCCCAUUCCCACUUAGUAUAAAUAAUAUUGUUUGUUAAAAAUAAAAAAAAAGUUUGCUUAAAUCCGCCUAGGUGAUAGACCCCAUUCCGUCGCUCAACUAGCACCUAGCGUCUUUUAAGACUUUGUAAAAAACAUUGAAUACAAAAUCGGAAAAUGCCAUUGGAAUUGUUCUUGGCCUUAUUUGUUUAACAAGGUAAAUUGUUCUUUGAUUUAUUAUACUUGCACAGAGGCUAACCUGCUAGAUCAUAUUUGAUAGUAACUAUAAUAUCACCAUCUCAAGCCUGCAAGCGUUGGAAGUUUUAUCCCUUUUUGCGUCGAAGCUCAAUUUAACCGCCCGCUACAAAGAGUGAUAAUUCUCUGCAAUGGGGUCCAUCGCUUCUCUUCCUUUCUCACACAUCACGCAACGUGUGAGAAAAGAAGAAAAUGAUGUAUAUCAAUGUGAGAAAGGAAGAGAAACGUUAUAUCCCGGUUUCACGUAAGUUAUAAUGCAUAACCAAAAAAAACUUAAUAUGGAUAUAAUCUUCCCUUUUCUUCUUUAUUCUGAGAAAACAAACAAGGAUAAUUUUGUUAAAGGGAACAAAUUGUUAUUGUCCAGCAGUGGUGAUCAUUGACCCUUUCUCAUAGAUUCUCCUUUCCUUAAAGAAAGAAUUUGAAGAGAGAAGCACGUUUUAGAAGCAAACAAAUGGCCAGCAAAGCAGAUCAAGAUUGACAAUUAAAGCUUCAAAGAACCAAAUCUUUCACAUCUAUUUUAUAAUAUGGAUUUACUAAACAAGACUGCAUGAUCAUUUGUUUAAUCUCUGCUAGCAUGGAUGACAACUAAGGAGUGAUACCCACGGUAGCCAUGAAAUCCUACUAAUAAUAGUACAAAGGAAAUUAUUUCCGCGCGCCCUUUCUCCUAACGUACUUCCCAGCUUGUUUAUGUCCUCGAUUCACCUCGAUUUAUUCAAUCGCAUGGCCAGAAAUAAGAAGGGGAGUGCAAGAGAAUAAAGAGAGUGUAAAAAUCAUUUCCCUAAUACGAGACCAACCAACACAAACUUGAGUCAUUGCAAAGGUUCCACAAAGCAGAAACUGCAGGCUGGAGAUUUCUAAUGAUCAAAACCCUAGUCCGGUACAAAACUUGGGAUACAUUUGCACAGCCGCAGUUCAAUCACAACGACCCAUAUAUAUGAACAGGGAAAAGUAAUUAAUCAAUGAAGCAUGUCGCCAGAUAAAACUGGAUGGGAAACACCUUUUCAUAAAUAAAAAGGUUAAAGGUUCAUCAAGAAGUGGCACCAGAUGGAAAAACUACUCCUCAUAAUAUUCAUACAAGCACAAAUUCAUUAGUGAAGAGAAUUUUCAAUCAAUUAAGAGAGGUGUUAUACAAUACUUGUGCGACGAGAUCUCUCCAACCACCCCAACCUUCUUGUUUUCUUUUCACAAUUGUAGGCUUAGAAAUUCAAUUCCAACAUAGGAAUCGACCCACCAGCUGCCAUAAUUUGUUGCUCCAACUGCAAUCAUCAACAAUAUUUAAUUUUGGAAAAAAAAAAUUAAGUAAAUGGAAAAAUUAUAAGUUAUAUUAAUAAGCAACAUCAAGUGUCUAUACAAUUCUACUCACCGCGAAGAGAGUUUCAAGCUUGCUCUUCACGAGGUAGUACUCAUGCUUUACUUGUUGAACACAUCUAACACACCUGCUAACAAGAAGUCUUUCAGUUUUCAUGGUUCAAGACCUCACAGCUUCGGGAGCUGAUUAAGAAAGAAUUAAAUGAAAAAAUAACAGUAAAGAGUAAAGUAAAAUCACCCUUCAGUGUUCUUUUCCUCGCAGAAAUUGCGGAAAGCAAUGCAGGCAUUUUUAACUCUCUGAGCACCAAUACUGUCAACCACAAAAACUCUCAUCAAACAACAUUCAGCUAAACAUGAAGAGCAAUUAGCUCUCAAACCUAUGUCCCUAUAUCUAAACUAGAUUAAGUUUACGGUAAUGAAUAAUGAUCACACCCCCGUUUUCUCCUUCUGUCCUUUCUUCUGUCCCUUGAUUCUCUUUCAAUUAUUCAAUCGAAAGGAAGGAGUCCAGAGGGAGAAGAGGGAAGUGCGAAAUUCUCUUCCUGAAGUUUAACCUAUCCAAGGGUGUAUAAAUUGGAUUUAUCUCAGUUUGAAGAAAAUGCAAAUUGUCCAAGUAGCUACAAAAAUAGGGGUUCUAAAUCGUAAAACCAGGAGUUCAAACUAUGAAAUCAACUGAGAAACUAAAAAUAAAUAACCAACUUUUGCUACUUUAUUUCAUGUUUUUUUUCAUAGAAGGCAAAAAAAGAAGCAACAUUUAAGUGUACCUGGAGCUACUACCCUUGAACUGGUGAACGUGGGCAUCAACCCUUUUGAAGUCUACAGUUGGUUGUUCUCUGUGCAAACAAAAAAAGGGAAAUCAUGCACUCCUAAAAAGUAUCCAUAGCAAACUAUGAGCACCACACAAAUCAAUCCAGUCCAGUCCAGUCCAAUCCAAUCCCAGAGACAAAAAGAUAGUGAAAAGAAAGAUCCUGGAUUCUUACAGAGCUCUGGUGAGAUCAUUGAGAAGCUUCUCAGAAUCUUCAAAGAAAAGAGACACCACUUCAACAACAAAAUCUGGGUUGCUCUCAUCCUGCAGCUGUUGGAGCUGCAAAAACUGACCAUCCAGAAACCCCUUCUCUCACCCAACCAAUAAAAAAAAUUCCAAAAUAUAAAAACAUCAGGAACAAAACAAGCAAAAACAACAAAAUCAAAACAACCCCAUCUGUGAUUUAUGCUUAAAUUUCACAUUUUUUUUCUGUUGCUUCUACCUCCAGGAACAAGGAUUUUGUGUAGUCAACCCACUGUCUCUGCAUCUGCCCCACCUCCAUGUCUUUUCUUUUGUUCCUCUCCACACAGACAGAGUAAGAGAAAGAGAGCCAGCAGAGAAAAGCUUGUGCCUUGAAUUGCAGAUCUUGAGGAAUUAUUGCACAAAUCAGAGACUAUAAAGUUAUAAAAUUUUGGGAAAGCCAGAAAAAAGGUUUGUGAAUUCAAUGUGAAAAAACAAAAUCCAAAAGCUGCUUGCUUUGGGGUAUUUGACCCCCUUUCUGGUUUCUAUCUCUAUCUGGAUGUGUGCUCUGGUUUUUAGUAUUUUUCUCAUAGAAUCACAAACCCCACCAGUUGCCCUCCUUUAUAUAUUUAAAUUUAUUAUUAUCACACACGUUCUCCCUCUUUCUUUGAUUUUCUUGUAAUUUUGUUCUUCAUUUUUCAAAGUGGUGGAUGUGAUGUAGAAUCCACAGCUGAUCAUGUCUUUCAAGUCCCACGUUGCUUUUUGCCACAUCGUUUUAAAGUAUUUGGGUUUUAUUAGGUAAAUAAACCCUAGGGUUGUUUAAAAAAAAUGACCUUAAAAAUGGAGAAGGACUUGUGUGGAUCGAGACUUCACAAUGACGAUUGAUUUAUUUCAUGUCUAAGUUGUUUUUAGUUGAAAACGAUGUGGUUCAGUUCAAAUUACGCUUAAAAAGUGUGAACUGAAUCAAAUUUUUUAAACGGGCCUUAACCCAUUUGAUCUUUUGGGCUUUAAGAACCUCAGCCCUAGUAAACAGAAAUAAAAUUGGUUAUAAUCUUUUAAUUGAAAAAUGAAAUCACGAGAUUCUAAAGUGUAGGGUGCAACCCAGACGAGUUGGAAGGUCAAUCGAGUUUUGGAUCAUUUAGGUUUAUUAGGGCUUGAGUUCAUUCGAGUUAGAUUUGUUUGUGUAUACUUUUUGCAGUCAAUCGACUUCAUCGAGUUUGGCUCUACCAACCGGUCCAAUUUUAUUCAAAUUUUACAAAAAAAAAAAAAAUUAUUCAUUAAGAUUUGAUUUCCACAUCUCAUUAAAUCUUUUGUUUUCAAUUUCAAUCAUUUAUUUUGUACCACUCAAUAUUACAUACUAUUUUUAAUAAAAAAAAUUGCGAGAACAAAAAAUAUUCAACACAACACUAUGCGGAGGGGGUGAGCUUAACCUCACAAUGGAGAUGCAAUAAUAUGAUUUAAAUUCUCAUUUGGCGAGAAUUAAUCCUAAAACAUAUCACUUACAAAUAAAAAUAAAUACUAAUAAACCAUAUUACUAAGUGGCAGUAUUACAUACUAUUACAAAUAAAAAGUUAGCGGUCGUGCUGGUCGGAAGUAAACAAGAGCCAAAUUGUUAAGGAUUUUCCCUUGUUUGUUUACCCACUUCGAGUAAAGAUAAUUAUUAGAAUAAUCCCCAACUAAACAAAUGACAUCCCAUCCCAAUAUCUCACGUGGCAGAAUUAUCAUUUGCCAAAAUGGUUAAGUAGGUUUUGGCAACAUCACCUCAUCUUCAAGACUUGAAGUUGUUAAAUGUACCAUCCAAACUUCAUGUCAUAAGCUCUCCAAUAAACCAAAAAAAAAAAAGAGCUUUAAUGAAAAGGGUUUGGUCCAACAAAUAUUUAACAAAAAACUAUCUCAAAAUGUUAUUUAACCAAAAUGGCUCAAAGUUUAAUAAAAAAUCAUCCAAAACUAUUGUCCACGAGUAAAACUUACAAGCCAAACCCGCUACAAAUCUACAUUUUCGUAAAUACGCUUAAAUGAUUUGAUAUUGUCCCGAUUCUUCACCAACCUCAACCCAGCACGAAACCGCCAUAAUAACUUCCUGCCUUCCUAUCAAAUCAAAUUCCCCCAUUUCAAAAACAACCAAAUCAAAGUUGAAAAAAUGAAGUAUUCAUUAGAACAAAGCCGCCUAAACAAGUUCAAAGAAGUUUAAUGGCAGAAACUGGCGAAAAAAUGUCUGGAAAAAAAAAGAACAAAAACAUAAAACUGUUUCUGGAGAGCCCAAAACAUAAUACUGUUUCUGGAAAAAAAAUCUGACACAGUGUUUGUUUUGUCUGUGCACAAACAAACACUGUAUAUGGAAAGAAAAGAACCAAAAUCCAAAUACGGUGACUUAAAUUCCAGCAACAAUGACUUAAAUUUCAGAAACAAUGACUUAGAUUUUAGAAACAAUCUAUGUUUUAACCUUUAACUGUUUCUUUUCUUUCAAGCAUCAGUUGAUUAUAUUUAAGAAGCAGGAUGCUUAUUUUACUUUGAAUCCAAAUACAGUAAAUUUCACUAUUUCUUUUCUAGCUUACAUUUAAGAAAUAGAGUGUUUAUUUCCACUGACGAAGAAAAAUUGAAAAACAAUACCUCGAAUACAUUAUGAAUAAUAAUGACAAUCACAUUUCAACGAAAUAAUACAAAAUAUAAAUUAAAUAGCAUAAGGGUCUAUAGUUUUAUUUCAAAGAAAAAGAAGAAGGUCUGCAAAACAACGAUAAACUCCAUUAACGACGAAAAUCUGGAACUCAACCUAAAAAAGUUAAGGGUAAAAUCACAAAUCAUAAUUUAUUAUAGUUGAGCCAUUUUUAGUUGGACUACUUUAAUAUGGGCAUUGUACUAAUCAUUAAACAAAAAUUAUAACAUGAUUUUUUAUUAAAACAAAAACUUUUCAAGCUCUUUUCAUUAGUUUUCUUAAAAAAAUAAAGACUUCAUGUCAUAUUUGAUGAAUGUUUGUUUAUUUCUCAAGACUUAUAACUUAAGUAAUUUAAAUCACUCACGCUUGUACCGAAGUUAUAUUUGAUGCACAUGAUGUCGCUUGCAUUUAAAAGAAAAAUGAUUUGUUUAUUUCUUGGUCCAAUAAACAAUACCCAACAACAACAACAACAACAACAAAGCCUUUUCCCACUAAGUGGGGUCGGCUAUAUGAAUCCUAGAACGCCAUUGCGCUCGGUUUUGUGUCAUGUCCUCCGUUAGAUCCAAGUACUCUAAGUCUUUUCUUAGAGUCUCUUCCAAAGUUUUCCUAGGUCUUCCUCUACCCUUUUGGCCCUGAACCUCUGUCCCGUAGUCACAUCUUCGAACCGGAGCGUCAGUCGGCCUUCUUUGCACAUGUCCAAAUCAUCGGAGCCGAUUUUCUCUCAUCUUUCCUACAAUUUCGGCUACUCCU